UGCAGCUGCCUGGACUCAACACGUUGGGAAUCUCGUUGGCUCGCAUUGACUACAUGCCCUUAGGACAGAAUCCUCCACACACACACCCACGUGCCACGGAGAUCCUCACCGUGCUUGAAGGGACACUCUACGUUGGAUUUGUCACCUCCAACCAAGCUGACAGAAGUAACAAGCUAUUUGCCAAGGUUCUCAACAAGGGCGAUGUGUUUGUAUUCCCCCAAGGACUAAUCCACUUCCAGUUCAACCCGGCCCAUGACAAGCCAGCAGUCGCGCUCGCUGCUCUAAGUAGCCAGAACCCUGGAGCUAUUACUAUUGCCAAUGCAGUCUUUGGAUCAAAGCCACCUAUCUCGGAUGAUGUCCUAGCUAAGGCCUUUCAGGUGCAAAAGGGUACAAUUGAUUGGCUUCAAGCUCAGUUUUGGGAGAACAACCACUAUUGAAAAAAAUAAAUCAAGUUACAGUUCAUUGUAUGGGAAUAUAAUGAUUUAUUUACAUUUUACAUACUACUCUAUGUAUUUAUUUUUCUAGACUUUCAGCUGAUAAUAAAAUAAAUGGAUUGUAUUUAUGUACUAUAAUUGUAAUUGUGUCCCAACUGUGGUUCUACCACCAUCUCCUUAAUCGAAAGUGCAUGUAAUGUAUAUGGCACCCUCUCGUUUCCCAUUUUAUUGAGAUGGUUCAUAUAUUAAGCCAUCUCUAGAACGAUUGACAUAAUUACACCACUCCUAAAAUUUCACUAUUAUCAUGAAUGAUUAUCAUAAAGAACUGUCCUUAAAGAUCAAAUUUCAUGGGUGGAUUCUUAUGCCAACCGUUCCUGAAAAAUAGAAGAUUUCUACUCAAAAGGUGCUAGCUAGCAUGGUUGAGGACCAAAAAAAUUAAUAGAUUUUCAAAUAUAGUCAUUAAGUGACAAGCUUUAUAUCAAAUUUGUAAAGCCCAACAAUAUCUAAAACUUUAUAGGUAACAACUUUUUAUUUAAGACCAUUUAGAGACCUAAAUAUAUGUUUUGUCUUCGAAGAGUUGAAAAUUCAGAAUUUCAAAUUUCAUUUCUAGUGGCAGUGGGCUUUCAUUUUCCACCGUCAACACUUCUAUAAAAAACUCUUAUAUAAUUAUAUAGUGAUUUGAUAUUUUUAUACAUGGCAUACCAGUAAUAUAAAUUCAACGUUAUGCUUAAUUGGUCUCUGUACUACCCACUUUGUAAGAAAAACCUAAAAAGAGAAAUCUCAUUCCUUCAUAUAUGUGUCGAGGACCAUAAUUAGGGGUACCCUCAAGACGCCUAAUUCUCAGCUGGUAACCCCCAUCAGCAUAAAGCUGCAAAGGCCUGAUAGGUACGAUUAAGUCAGGGAUCAGUCCACACGAGUGACUCGAUCACGCUUCACCCGAGCCUAGCCUCGGCCAAGGGCAGCCGACCUCGAGAGAUUUCCGUCUCGCCCGAGGCCCCCCUUUUACGGCGGACACAUCACCGGCUCGCCCGAGGCCUUGGCUUCGCUCAGAAGCAACCCUGACUAAAUCGCCACACCGACUGACCAAGUUGCAGGAGCAUUUAACGCAAAGGUGGCCUGACACCUUUAUCCUGACACGCGCCCCCCCCCCCCGGCAGAGCCGAAGUGACCGCUGUCACUCCACCGCUCCUCUGACCGGUCUGACAGAAGGACAGCGCCGCCUGCGCCACUCCGACUGCGGUGCCACUCGACAGAGUGAGUCUGACAGACAGUCAGGCCUUGCCAAAGGCGCCACGGCGAACUCUGCUCCGCCCGACCCCAGGGCUCGGACUCGGGCUAAGACCCGGAAGACGGCGAACUCCGCUCCGCCCGACCCCAGGGCUCGGACUCGGGCUAAGACCCGGAAGACGGCGAACUCCGCUCCGCCCGACCCCAGGGCUCGGACUCGGGCUAAGACCCGGAAGACGGCGAACUCCGCUCCGCCCGACCCCAGGGCUCGGACUCGGGCUAAGACCCGGAAGACGACGAAACUCCGCCUCGCCCGACCCCAGGGCUCGGACUCCGCCCUGGCCUCGGCCGAACGACUUCCGCCUCGCCCGACCCCAUGGCUCGGGCUCGGCCUCGGCAACAGAGGACAGACUCAACCUCGGCUUCGGAGGAGCCCCCACGUCACCCUGCCUAGGGCGCAGACCCGCCACGUCAACAGGAAGCGCCAUCAUCAUCCUACCCCGAAUCGACUCGGGUCACGGAGAACAAGACCGGCGUCCCAUCCGGCCAGCUCCGCCGGAUGGGCAAUGAUGGCGCUCCACAAGCUCUGUGACGACGGCGGCCCCCAGCUCUCUUACGGAAGCAGGGCGACGUCAGCAGGGACUCGACCGCUCCAACAGCUGUCCCUCCGCCAGGCUCCGUCGCACCUCCGACAGCCACGACAUCACGCCAGCAAGGUGCCAAGACCUCUCCGGCUGCCACAUUGGCAUGUACCUAGGGCGCUAGCUCUCUCUCCGCUAGACACGUAGCACUCUGCUACACCCCCCCAUUGUACACCUGGAUCCUCUCCUUACGACUAUAAAAGGGAGGACCAGGGCCUUCUUAGAGAAGGUUGGCCGCGCGGGACCGAGGACGGGACAGGCGCUCUCUUGGGGCCGCUCGCUUCCCUCACCCGCGUGGACGCUUGUAACCCCCCUACUGCAAGCGCACCUGACCUGGGCGCGGGACGAACAUGAAGGCCGCGGGACUUCCACCUCUCUCACGCUCGACUCCGGCCACCUCGCCUCUCCCCCCUUCGCGCUCGCCCACGCGCUCGACCCAUCUGGGCUGGGGCACGCAGCACACUCACUCGUCGGCUUAGGGACCCCCCUGUCUCGAAACGCCAACAGUUGGCGCGCCAGGUAGGGGCCUGCUGCGUGCUGACGAACAGCUCCCCGUCAAGCUCCAGAUGGGCAGUCUCCAGCAACCUCUCCGGCCCGGGGCGGUGCUUCGUUUCGGGACUCUUGAGUUCAUGUCCUUCGACGGCAGCUACGACAUGAUACUUCUUCCACCGCCGCGCGACAACGACAAUGGCGGCCGACAACCCGCCCGCCGGCGGCGGAAUCGACGACAUCUUCCCCGCGUGGUGGAAGGGCAACAUUCGAGCUCGCUCCGUUCUCUCCCCCGCCAACGGAGGAGGAGGCGGGGCCGCCAAGGCCAGGCGGGAGGCCGCGCUUUGUUGGCCGUCGAGCGAAUCGACGCCCCCGACGCCCCGACGGAAGGCACGCCGGACGUCGACCUCGCGUUCAAGACGGAGGCAAGCGCUGUCCCCCCGCGACACGCUGACCCCGAACAAGAAGACGACGCCAGCGCGCUCGCGGAAAGCCUGCAGGACGUCGCCCUCGUACCUGAGAUGACGGUGCAACCAGUCCCCGAUGUGACUACGUCGCCCCUCGUCGACCAAAAGGUACCAACUAACUCCCAUCUUGCGUCAUUUCAACUCGGCCUCAACCCGCCAAACGACCUCGUUUUGGCGGGCGCUCUCAUCGAGGCGAGUGCAACCCCACUGGGGUUACGUAUGCGGUCGCCUUGGGACCGGCUGACGAACGUCUCGACCUACGGGCCCUCUGGGUCCGAGGAAGAUGACGAUCCCAGCAUCUGUUGGGAUUUCUCCGGACUUGGCAACCCCAGUGCCGUGCGGGACUUCAUGACCGCAUGUGACUACUGCCUCUCCGACUGUUCCGACGGAAGCCGCAGCCUUGGUGACGAGAGCUGCGGCCCAAGCCGCGAAUGUUUCCACAUCGAGCUAGGGGAUCCCUCCGAAGGCAACCAUCUCGGCAUGCCAGAGGACGGUGAUCUUCCUAGGCCGGUGCCUCGCGCCGACAUCCCACGGGAGCUAGCUGUGGUCCCUGCUCCGGCGGGGGGUUACGACCCACAACUCGAGCAAGUCCGCGAGGUGCAGGCCAGGCUCAACGAGGCAACAGGAGCGCUUGAGCCGAUCCGUCGGGACGUCGGACAGGCAUGGGCGGGCCAACCCUUGGCCGGAGAAAUACGUCACCUGCCCCAAGGUCUCCAGCACCGCGUCGCCGACGAUGUCAGGGUCAGGCCGCCGCCCGCAUCCAGCGGGGUUGGUCAGAACCUGGCAGCCGCAGUGAUGCUCCUCCGCGCGAUGCCGGAGCCAUCAACCACCGAGGGUCGGCGAAUCCAGGGAGAGCUCAAGAAUCUCCUGGAAGGCGCUGCGGCCCGACGGGCCGAGAGCACUGCCUCCCGAAGGCAAGGAUAUCCCUCGGAACCUCACGCCGCGACUUCCCGAUUCAUGCGGGAAGCCUCGGUCUACACCGGGCGCACGCGCAACACCGCGCCUGCGGCCCCGGGCCACCUCGGCAACGAGCACCAUCGACGCGACCGUCGGGCUCACCUCGACGAAAGGGUGCGCCGAGGCUACCACCCCAGGCGUGGGGGGCGCUACGACAGCGGGGAGGAUCGGAGUCCCUCGCCCGAACCACCCGGUCCGCAGGCCUUCAGUCGGGCCAUCCGACGGGCGCCAUUCCCGACCCGGUUCCGACCCCCGACUACUAUCGCGAAGUACUCGGGGGAAACGAGACCGGAACUGUGGCUCGCGGACUACCGCCUUGCCUGCCAACUGGGUGGGACGGACGACGACAACCUCAUCAUCCGUAACCUCCCCCUGUUCCUCUCCGACACUGCCCGCGCCUGGUUGGAGCACCUGCCUCCGGGGCAGAUCUCCAACUGGGACGACUUGGUCCAGGCCUUCGCUGGCAAUUUCCAGGGCACAUACGUGCGCCUCGGGAAUUCCUGGGACCUUCGAAGUUGCCGGCAACAGCCGGGGGAGUCGCUCCGGGACUAUAUCCGGCGAUUCUCGAAGCAGCGCACCGAGCUGCCCAACAUCACCGACUCGGAUGUCAUCGGCGCGUUCCUCGCCGGCACCACUUGCCGCGACCUGGUGAGCAAGCUGGGUCGCAAGACCCCCACCAGGGCGAGCGAGCUGAUGGACAUCGCCACCAAGUUCGCCUCUGGCCAGGAGGCGGUCGAGGCUAUCUUCCGAAAGGACAAGCAGCCCCAGGGCUGCCCAUCGGAAGAGGCUCCCGAGGCGUCUGCUCCGCGCGGCGCCAAGAAGAAAGGCAAGAAGAAGUCGCAACCGAAACGCGACGCCGCUGACGCGGACAUUGUCGCCGCCACCGAGUACAAGAACCCUCGGAAGCCCCCCGGAGGUGCAAACCUCUUCGACAAGAUGCUCAAGGAGCCGUGCCCCUAUCAUCAGGGGCCCGUCAAGCACACCCUCGAGGAGUGCGUUAUGCUUCGGCGUCACUUCCACAGGGCCGGGCCACCCGCCGAGGGUGGCAGGGCCCGCGACGACGACAAGAACGAAGAUCACCAAGCAGGAGAGUUCCCCGAGGUCCGCGACUGCUUCAUGAUCUAUGGAGGGCAUACGGCGAAUGCCUCGGCUCGGCAUCGCAAGCAAGAGCGCCGGGAGGUCUGCUCGGUGAAGGUGGCGGCGCCAGUCUACCUAGACUGGUCCGACAAGCCCAUCACCUUCGACCAGGCCGACCACCCCAACCAUGUGCCGAGCCCGGGGAAAUACCCGCUCGUAGUCGACCCCGUUGUCGGCAAUGUCAGGCUCACCAAGGUCCUGAUGGAUGGGGGCAGCUGCCUCAACAUCAUCUACGCCGAGACCCUCAAGCUCCUGCGCGUCGAUCUGUCCUCCGUCCGAGCAGGCGCUGCGCCCUUCCACGGGAUCAUCCCUGGGAAGCGCGUCCAGCCCCUCGGGCGACUCGACCUCCCCGUCUGCUUCGGGACGCCCUCCAACUUCCGAAGGGAGACCCUGACGUUCGAGGUGGUCGGGUUCCGAGGAACCUACCACGCCGUACUAGGGAGGCCAUGCUACGCGAAGUUCAUGGCCGUCCCCAACUACACCUACCUGAAGCUCAAGAUGCCGGGCCCCAACGGGGUCAUCACCGUCGGCCCCACGUACAAACACGCGUUCGAAUGCGACGUGGAGUGCGUGGAGUACGCCGAGGCCCUCGCCGAGUCCGAGGCCCUCAUCGCCGACCUGGAGAACCUCUCCAAGGAGGUGCCAGACGUGAAGCGCCAUGCCGGCAACUUCGAGCCAGCGGAGACGGUCAAGGCCGUCCCUCUUGACCCCAGUGGUGACACCACCAAGCAGAUCCGGAUCGGUUCCGGGCUCGACCCCAAAUAGGAAGCAGUGCUCGUUGACUUUCUCCGCGCAAACGCCGACGUCUUUGCGUGGAGUCCCUCGGACAUGCCUGGCAUACCGAGGGAUGUCGCCGAGCACUCGCUGGAUAUUCGGGCCGGAGCCCGACCCGUCAGGCAGCCUCUGCGCCGAUUCGACGAGGAGAAGCGCAGAGUGAUUGGCGAAGAGAUCCACAAGCUAAUGGCAGCAGGGUUCAUCAAAGAGGUAUUCCAUCCCGAAUGGCUUGCCAACCCUGUGCUUGUGAGGAAGAAAGGGGGGAAAUGGCGGAUGUGUGUAGACUACACUGGUCUCAACAAAGCAUGUCCGAAGGUUCCCUACCCUCUGCCUCGCAUCGAUCAAAUCGUGGAUUCCACCGCUGGGUGCGAAACCCUGUCCUUCCUCGAUGCCUACUCAGGGUAUCACCAGAUCCGGAUGAAAGAGUCCGACCAGCUCGCGACUUCUUUCAUCACGCCGUUCGGCAUGUACUGCUACGUCACCAUGCCGUUCGGUUUGAGGAAUGCGGGCGCGACGUACUAGCGGUGCAUGAACCAUGUGUUCGGCGAACACAUCGGUCGCACAGUCGAGGCCUACGUCGAUGACAUUGUAGUCAAGACAAGGAAGGCUUCCGACCUCCUCUUCGACCUUGAAGUGACAUUCCGAUGUCUCAAGGCGAAAGGAGUCAAGCUCAAUCCUGAGAAGUGUGUCUUCGGGGUGCCCCGAGGCAUGCUCCUAGGGUUCAUCGUCUCCGAGCGAGGCAUCGAAGCCAACCCGGAGAAGAUCGCGGCCAUCACCAGCAUGGGACCCAUCAAGGACUUAAAAGGUGUACAGAGGGUCAUGGGAUGCCUCGCGGCCCUGAGCCGCUUCAUCUCGCGCCUCGGCGAAAGAGGUCUGCCUCUGUACCGCCUCUUAAGGAAGGCCGAGUGUUUCGCUUGGACCCCUGAGGCCGAGGAAGCCCUCGGCAACCUGAAGGCGCUCCUUACGAAGGCGCCUGUCUUGGUGCCCCCGGCGGAUGGAGAAGCCCUCUUGGUCUACGUCGCCGCGACCACUCAGGUGGUUAGCGCCGCGAUCGUGGUCGAGAGGCAAGAGGAAGGGCAUGCAUUGCCCGUUCAGAGGCCGGUCUACUUCGUCAGCGAAGUGCUGUCCGAGACCAAGAUCCGCUACCCACAAGUUCAAAAGCUGCUGUAUGCUGUGAUCCUGACAAGGCGGAAGCUGCGACACUACUUCGAGUCUCACCCGGUAACUGUGGUGUCAUCCUUCCCCCUGGGGGAGAUCAUCCAGUGCCGAGAAGCCUCGGGCAGGAUCGCAAAGUGGGCGGUGGAAAUCAUGGGCGAAACGAUCUCGUUCGCCCCUCGGAAGGCCAUCAAGUCCCAGGUGUUGGCGGACUUCGUGGCCGAAUGGGUCGAUACCCAGUUGCCGACGGCUCCGAUCCAACCGGAGCUCUGGACCAUGUUUUUCGACGGGUCGCUGAUGAAGACAGGAGCCGGCACGGGCCUGCUCUUCAUCUCGCCCCUCGGGAAGCACUUGCGCUACGUGCUGCGCCUCCAUUUCCCGGCGUCCAACAAUGUGGCCGAGUACGAAGCUCUGGUCAACGGGUUGCGGAUCGCCCUCGAGCUAGGGGUCAGACGCCUCGACGCCCGCGGUGAUUCGCAGCUCGUCAUCGACCAAGUCAUGAAGAACUCCCACUGCCGCGACCCGAAGAUGGAGGCCUACUGCGACGAGGUUCGGCGCCUGGAAGACAAGUUCUUCGGGCUCGAGCUCAACCACAUCGCUCGGCGCUACAACGAAACCGCAAACGAGCUGGCUAAAAUAGCCUCGGGGCGAACGACGGUCCCCCCGGACGUCUUCUCCCGGGAUCUGCAUCAACCCUCUGUCAAGAUCGACGACGCGCCCGAGCCCGAGGUACCCUCGGCUCAGCCCGAGGCACCCUCGGCACAGCCCGAGGUACCCUCAGCCCCCGAGGGCGAGGCACUGGACGUCGAGGAAGAGCAGAGCGGGGCCACGCCAGAUCGAGAUUGGCAGGCCCCGUACCUGCAGUAUCUUCGCCGAGGAGAGCUACCCCCCGACCAAGUCGAGGCUCGGCGGGUAGCGCGACGCGCCAAGUCAUUCGUCUUGCUGGGCGAUGAAGAGGAGCUCUACCAUCGCAGCCCCUCGGGCAUCCUCCAGCGAUGCAUCUCCAUCGCCGAAGGUCGGGAACUGCUGCAAGAAAUACACUCGGGGGCUUGCGGCCAUCACGCAGCACCCCGAGCCCUUGUCGGGAAUGCUUUCCGACAAGGCUUCUACUGGCCAACGGCGGUGGCUGACGCCACUAGAAUUGUCCGCACCUGCGAAGGGUGCCAAUUCUAUGCGAAGCAGACCCACCUGCCCGCUCAGGCGCUGCAGACAAUACCCAUCACCUGGCCCUUCGCUGUAUGGGGUCUGGACCUCGUCGGUCCCUUGCAGAAGGCGCCCGGGGGCUACACGCACCUGCUGGUCGCCAUCGACAAAUUCUCCAAGUGGAUCGAGGUCCGACCUCUGAACAGCAUCAGGUCCGAGCAGGCGGUGGCGUUCUUCACCAACAUCAUCCAUCGCUUCGGGGUCCCGAACUCCAUCAUCACCGACAACGGUACCCAGUUCACCGGCAAAAAAUUCUUGGAUUUUUGCGAAGAUCACCAUAUCCGGGUGGACUGGGCCGCCGUGGCUCAUCCCAUGUCGAAUGGGCAAGUAGAGCGUGCCAACGGCAUGAUUCUACAAGGGCUCAAGCCUCGGAUCUACAACGACCUCAAUAAGUUCGGCAAGCGGUGGAUGAAGGAACUCCCCUCGGUGGUCUGGAGCCUAAGGACGACGCCGAGUCGUGCCACGGGUUUCACGCCGUUUUUCCUGGUCUACGGGGCCGAAGCUAUCUUGCCCACUGACCUGGAAUACGGCUCCCCGAGGACGAGGGCCUACACCGAUCAAAGCAACCAAGCUAGCCGAGAAGAGUCGCUGGACCAGCUGGAGGAGGCUCGGGACAGGGCCUUACUACACUCGGCGCGGUACCAGCAGUCCCUGCGACGCUACCACGCUCGAGGGGUCCGGUCCCGAGACCUCCAGGUGGGCGAUCUGGUGCUUCGACUGCGGCAAGACGCCCGAGGGAGGCACAAGCUCACGCCCCCCUAGGAAGGGCCAUUCGUCAUCGCCAAAGUUCUGAAGCCCGGAACAUACAAGCUGGCGAACAAUCAAGGCGAGAUCUACGGCAACGCUUGGAACAUCAAACAGCUACGUCGCUUCUACCCUUAAGAUGUUUCCAAGUUGUUCAUAUACCUCGCACCUACGCAAAGUUUAGUCGUCAAGGAAGGGUCGGCCUAGCCUCGGCAAAGCCCGACCCUCCCUCGGGGGCUAAAGGGGGGGAGACCCCCUCUGCGUCGUAUUUUUCCUCGAAAAAGGAUCUCUUUUUAGCAGGAUUACUUUCGUGCUUCUUGACUACUUCGGAAAGCGGAUCCUGGAAACGACGGAGUACACGUAAGCAGCCAAGGCUGACCGAGCCGAGGGACUCCUACGCCUCCGGGAUACGGAUACCUCACUCAUCACCUUCUGCGAUAAGUAACUCGCGCUCGGAUAAAGCGACUCCGUGGACCGAACAAGUCUUCACGUUCGGAAGCUCUCCUGCCGAAGCAGUCCUUCAAGCUUUCUCGACUAAGUCGGGGACAGGGCCUCAUGAGCGGGUGAAGGUACGCGUAAGCGGCAAGGCCGACCGAGCCGAGGGAUUCCCACGCCUCUGGGAUACGGAUACCUCACUCGUCCCUUCCGCGAGAAGCAACCCUCGCUCACACAAACAUCCCUGUUACCGACAGAGAGUCCAGAUGCUCGAAACAAGAGGAAAAAAGACGCAGCUUCGCAAGCACGGCGAGGGUGUGUUUUCUGGCCUCGACGGCCGCAGAAGGCACACGCUACAAGACGAUCUGAUCCUGCAGGCUCGGGUCUUCACGCUGAAGGGAGCCGGAGCACCCUCGGCAUCGACGACAUCUUCAGCAAAGUCCGACCCAGCCUCGAACGGCGACGCGGUCCAGGGACUCCUCCGGGAAUCCGGCCCGAGCAGGCGGCUCGGCCGGUUACCCCUGGGGCCUCGACCAACCGGCUUCCAAGGGCGCCAGCCCGACCCGAGGCCUCGGCUGAUCGACUUUGGUGUCGGCUCCGCUGACGGACAACACGACUAGGCUCCGGCCAACCAGGUUCCCAUUCUCGAGCCAACUCCGCCUCUGUUCAUACUGAUAUCGCUACCCCUGGCCUCGGCUCAUCGAAGGGCGGCCGAGGGGUCUCUUUAACUAAGCUAGAGGAGCCCCAGACAACAAGGCCGGACGGGCCGAGGGAUUCCUACGCCUCCGGGAUACGGAUACCUCACUCGUCACCUUGACACGGGGCGACUCAUGCUUGGGAAAGCGGUUCAGAUAAUCAACAGAUGAGACUUAGUGCUCGAAAAUGAGGAAAAAACAUGGCUCCGUGCCGAAAUUACAUACAUGUUCAGGCCCCGACAGCCACAAUGAACAAGAAACACUGGCAUUCGAGAUGCCAUUACGAACGGAACUCCGGUUCCCCCUUCGCGGGUACGAACGACCCCACUCCAUGGGGAAGGCCUGCGGAGCAACAGAAGACCGACGGGCGGCUCGCCGCCGUCCAUUCUGACUACGGCGACAGUGGGCCGGCGCUGCUGCGAUCUUGCCCUCGCCCCCGCCGGCUCUCGAGGGGCGAGGACAAGCACGCCGGCACGGUGGCCCGGGGCGCGGGUGGUGGCAGUAAUCCCGUCGGCGACGAGGACUUCUCGAUCCGCCUCCGCCUCGGCGCCGAUGGCAGGGGACACCAGCCCCCCGGGAGAUCCCCACUCAAAUCCUCCCAGACGAGUGGGGCACCGGCCUCUGCGCAAGGGCGCCGUCCCAGUGCAAAAGCAGGACCACCCCAGAACACGAACGCCGCCCUAACAGCGCGCGGCAUCGUGGGUGGUCCUCCCGUGCACACGGCGUGGCGGUCGCCCUCCGGCAGGAGGGGCCGCCGGAAGCCCGGCCGACGACUCCGACACGCUGGAGGUGACGACGCCCGCCGUCGAUCAGCCCCACGCUGUCUAAGUCCGCGCCGUCCGCAGGGCCAGCGAGCGCCUCCACCCCCAAACGCCGCGGAAAAGGGUGACCCGCGGACCCGCGCGGAAGGUGGAGCGCCGGCUCAGCGUGGCCCCCACCCCAGCGAGGAUGAUGAACAUCCUUGAAGCUGAGGGUGGGACCAAGAUCGCAGCCCAGCUUGCUCUUCCCCACCCAGAAACUGGUGGUCACCAUCCUGGGUGAUCGCCGGCGUAGGGGUGCGGCCGGGCCGGCUGAUGAAAAUCCUUGAAGCCGAACGAUGGCUGAGAGGUACCAACUCCCAUGGAGUUGCGUUCCUCCAACGAGGAGGCGCAAAGGCGGCGGAUACCCCCCAUCCGGGGGCUUGGAAGAUGGAAAGACACGGCGCAUAAGGGAGGAAGAAGACAUGGUUGCCUUCUGAAAGGAGUCUACCUCCUUUUAAAGGCAACUCUCCCUACGUGCGCCCCCAGACGCCGCGGGCUGAGUCUUCUCCAACACGCUCCAAGGCCCUCCCCUGCGACUCGGGGGCUGGGUCCCGCAUGUCAUGCAAACCGGCUCAGGGCAGAAGAAGCCAAACCGCCGCGCGUGGUGCGCACGACCGCCCGGCGGUUACAAGCGACCCCCCACUUUUGCCCAGACCAACGGGCGGAAGGGGCAGGCAGCCAUGCAGGUGGCAUGCAACCGCGCCAGGUGGACGCGCUUCUCCGACUUCUGACACGCCAGCUUGGGAACCCAGGCCCACGCGUCAAGCAACCGGCGCGCCAGUUGCUGCAUGCAAGCAACCACCCCGCCACUCGUGCCACCGUCGCACCUCUUCGGUUGCGGAGCCUAUGCCGCGACUCGAGGCGACCCAGCAGCGCCAGCCUGGCGCGUCGGUCAAAGCGACCGAAAGUGGGCCGGCAGUAAUGGCGGUGGCAGGCGGGCGGGCGCAGCAGUCACGUCGUCAGCCAGGCUCACGUCUCAUCCCGGGACAACAAGAGAGCCUCCUCUCACGGCGUGAAGACGGUGCACCCAUGACCCGUUCCUCGAACGGAUCGCGCACGCGCAACGGCCGCCCCGCCAACUACCCGCCCCGUCGCAUUAACUCCGCGGCGGGACACGCGAUGCCUCUGGCGGGAGAAGCGCGCGACGCUUCGCCUUCGCCGUAAUAACCGCGUCAAAAAGAGGUACGCCACGUCGUUCGAUUUCGUAUCCUUUUCCUUUUUCAUCUUUCUCUAUCUCUUGCAACAGGGACCGGGAAAGGGGGAUACCCCGAAAAGGAUCCUUCUCCGCGAAGGAACCGGGCUCCGAGCCCCCCCUACUGAUCAGGGGUUCGAAGGCUGGCCCUCCGAAGGGUUCAACAGUCGCCUCAGAUCGCGUGGGCCCGACACCCACUACUGGUCAGGGGUUCGAAGGCCAGCCCCCCAAAGGGUUCCAUGGCCGCCUCAGGCUACUCGGGCUCCGCGCCCAUUACUGAUCAGGGGUUCGAAGGCUGGCCCCCGAAGGGUUCACAGUCGCCUCAGACACCGAGCGAGGGAUGACCAGGGGUACGUUCGAUACAUAACCGAGGCUCGGGCUGCGCUCCCGAGGUACCCUAGAACAUUUCCGAGACCAACGGGAACGAUCUUGUAACGGAAUCCCAUCGGAGGGAGGCAUCGAGCCCUCGGACCCCGUCGCCAGGGGACCGGGUCCGGCAAAUCACCCGCAGGUACUUUUGGGCGUGCCUCUGGGCCCCUAGUCGACCCCCAACGAACGGGGCACGGACGUCCACUCGGAUUACCCGCUUGCAGCUCACCGGAGACACCAUAAUGUUCGGUGCCCAUCGAGGGUAACAUGGCGCACUCCCCCCCUCCUCCUUGCGGAAAGGCGACGUAGGGGCGUAUGUAAAAAGCCGAGUCUGUCCCUGAUCGUCCUCUCGCCCUGUGCAGAGGCUCGGGGGCUGCUCUCGCAAAAACCGGCUCCGGCCGAACCGUUGACAGCGUCAACAUACCAGCCCGAGAGCUUGGGCCCCGACCGUGCACCCGGGCUACGGCCAGUUCGCAUGAGGGAACGACCAGACCAGCCGAAGCGUUACGCGAGGUAUUAAGACCUCGAAGGAGUGUAACCACUCCUCCGAGGCCUCGGGGGCUACACCCGGCGGGUGCGCUCGCGCGCACCCACCGGAACGAAAUGCAACCGAGAAAGGCUGGUCCCCUUGCAAAAAAGUGCGACGAAAGCCUCGAAGCGAGUGCUAACACUCCCUUCGAGGCUCGGGGGCUACUGUCGGGGACCAUAAUUAGGGGUACCCUCAAGACGCCUAAUUCUCAGCUGGUAACCCCCAUCAGCAUAAAGCUGCAAAGGCCUGAUGGGUACGAUUAAGUCAGGGAUCAGUCCACACGAGUGACUCGAUCACGCUUCACCCGAGCCUAGCCUCGGCCAAGGGCAGCCGACCUCGAGAGAUUUCCGUCUCGCCCGAGGCCCCCCUUUUUACGGCGGACACAUCACCGGCUCGCCCGAGGCCUUGGCUUCGCUCAGAAGCAACCCUGACUAAAUCGCCACACCGACUGACCAAGUUGCAGGAGCAUUUAACGCAAAGGUGGCCUGACACCUUUAUCCUGACACGCGCCCCCCCCCCCGGCAGAGCCGAAGUGACCGCUGUCACUCCACCGCUCCUCUGACCGGUCUGACAGAAGGACAGCGCCGCCUGCGCCACUCCGACUGCGGUGCCACUCGACAGAGUGAGUCUGACAGGCAGUCAGGCCUUGCCAAACGGAAGACGGCGAACUCCGCUCCGCCCGACCCCAGGGCUCGAACUCGGGCUAAGACCCGGAAGACGGCGAACUCCGCUCCGCCCGACCCCAGGGCUCGGACUCGGGCUAAGACCCGGAAGACGGCGAACUCCGCUCCGCCCGACCCCAGGGCUCGGACUCGGGCUAAGACCCGGAAGACGACGAAACUCCGCCUCGCCCGACCCCAGGGCUCGGACUCCGCCCUGGCCUCGGCCGAACGACUUUCGCCUCGCCCGACCCCAUGGCUCGGGCUCGGCCUCGGCAACAGAGGACAGACUCAACCUCGGCUUCGGAGGAGCCCCCACGUCACCCUGCCUAGGGCGCAACCCCGCCACGUCAACAGGAAGCGCCAUCAUCAUCCUACCCCGAAUCGACUCGGGUCACGGAGAACAAGACCGGCGUCCCAUCCGGCCAGCUCUGCCGGAUGGGCAAUGAUGGCGCUCCAUAAGCUCUGUGACGACGGCGGCCCCCAGCUCUCUUACGGAAGCAGGGCGACGUCAGCAGGGACUCGACCGCUCCAACAGCUGUCCCUCCGCCAGGCUCCGUCGCACCUCCGACAGCCACGACAUCACGCCAGCAAGGUGCCAAGACCUCUCCGGCUGCCACAUUGGCAUGUACCUAGGGCGCUAGCUCUCUCUCCGCUAGACACGUAGCACUCUGCUACACCCCCCAUUGUACACCUGGAUCCUCUCCUUACGACUAUAAAAGGGAGGACCAGGGCCUUCUUAGAGAAGGUUGGCCGCGCGGGACCGAGGACGGGACAUGCGCUCUCUUGGGGCCGCUCGCUUCCCUCACCCGCGUGGACGCUUGUAACCCCCCUACUGCAAGCGCACCUGACCUGGGCGCGGGACGAACACGAAGGCCGCGGGACUUCCACCUCUCUCACGCUCGACUCCGGCCACCUCGCCUCUCCCCCCUUCGCGCUCGCCCACGCGCUCGACCCAUCUGGGCUGGGGCACGCAGCACACUCACUCGUCGGCUUAGGGACCCCCCUGUCUCGAAACGCCGACAAUAUGUGUGUCAUCUCUAUUUAUCAUUUCAUGUGGACACCCCACCUAACCAGAAUAAAUGGUUAACAAAAGACACUCAAAUAACUUAUCCAUUCUUUGGAGUUUUGUUUGCUUGUGCAUUAAAAUAAUUAAAAUAAUAAUGCUAGUAGAAAUAAAACAAUGACUUGAGAUGAAGUUUGAAUCCUAAAUUGAGAAUUAGGGUUUGAAAUAGAGAAGGAAAGAGAAAAUACUAUACAAUACAAAAAUAAAUUUAUAAAUAGAUAAAUUUAUUCCACAAUAAUUAUUCAAAUCAUAUACUCGGAAAUUUGAGUACAAGUUCACCACAAAUUUGAAAUUCAAAUUUAGAUUCAAAAAUAAGAAUGAAAAGAAAAUGAAUCAAAAAAGGAAAAGGAAAAUAAAAAGAAAAGAAUAAAGACACCUAACUCGGCCGCGAGGCCAUAUUUCGGUCCGUUCACUGUUACUUCGCGCGGCCCAUCACUUCGUGGAGGCAUGCCGACACGUGGGGCCAUCUGGCCAGCCACACACCGCGUGAUACAGCAGCGUUGGCUCGUGCUGACACAUGGGGCCAUCUGGGCAGCCACCCACGCACGAACCCGCGGACGCCACGGUCACCUGCCCCACCUGUUAGAGAACACGAUGGAUCUUCUUCGUUCCGCCAUUGUCGCGCUGACCGGCGGCAAUCGCGCCACUUUGCCGUUUUCUGGGGGGUUGUUGGACUGGAGCACCCGAGCUAUAAGGACCGACUUCGGAUGCGGUUCCCCACCUUUGCCAACUCGUCGCGCCCCAACCAUUGAGCUCAAUGAGGGAGAGAGAGAAUCACUUCGCCGCAGUCCUUGGGCCGCCACCGGGAAUCCUCGCACCGCGAACACACCGUCUGCGGAAUUUGGGUCCAGGGCUUCGUGUUUUUGCGAGGAAUACAUGUGUGGUGUUGCGGUGACUGGGGUACCGUCGGUGCGCUUAGAAUCGCUCGCCUGUGUUCUUCUUCCGCCGCGUCGCGUGGACAACUGCCUCUGCACCAUCAAUCGCCGUCGGGUAACUACUCUACUUGCCAAGCUUUGUCUUCGCUACGUGUAUUCCGGUUGAGAUCGAAGCUUUAGGCGCGGGAUCAGGUAAUGGGGGAUUCCGGCGAUGGCGCUCCGCCGUGGGGGCCCUGGUCUUCCCUCAAGCCGUGGUCUGGGGGUAGGAGACGUUGUAGCCACCGUUACCUGUUAGAUGUGCGGCUCAGAUUGGAAACCAGUUAUCGAUUCGGACACGUUCGCCUGAGACAUUCGAUUAGUGAUCCGAGGGUAGGGAUCGGAUCUGGGCAUUGUAAAACCCUAGCCGUUGAUCUGUCAACAUAUGCCCAGGAUCAGAGGGGAAAUACAUCGUUUCAUUUAAUUAAAUCAGCAUCGUUGAUUCCCAAUCCAACGCAUAGCAUCGCAUACCGAUUUGGGUGUGGGCUUGAUAUAAUCAGAACCCUCGGUUGUCGAUCGGACGGCUCUGAACGAAGGAUACCCCUUCAACCCUGUAAAACUGCAAAAGAGACCCUAUGCUAUUUUAGAUUCAACCCGACGUCCAUUUGUGGGGCGCUCUGUGUCUUAGAGAUUUUUACCUUGAGACCCCUGAGUUCCUCUAGUUUUCUGCGCCUAGCCCAUGAGAGUAAGAAAUCCAGGAAAUUAAAUAAAAAAUAGAUUUUUAAUAUAUAAAUAAGUGCUAGAACUUGUAAAAUUUAUAGAAAAUUCAUUUUUAGUCCUAAUUACUCCAUUUCAGUUUCUAAAAUUUUGUAAUAUUAUUCUCUAUCACUUAGAGUCUCUAUUUUGACAUGAAAACAGUAAGAAAAUUUAUUUCUCACUUAAUCCUAUUUUAAGCAUAUAAAACAUUUGGAAAUUCAUAACUUAAAAUCUAUAACUCCAAAAUUUAUUAUUCCUAUUCCUAGGAUUUUAUUUUAAUGUGUAGAUUAUUAUUAUGUAUUUUUUACAUGUUUGGUGUGAUGUUAAUUUUCUCUAUAUACUGUGCUUGUUUGUAUUGUGGCGAGUAGAAGAGCCUGUGACUAAGGAUCCUGGUGCCCAGCAGAUAGAAGUUGCUGAGCAGGAGCUCAUUGAAGGCAAGUUGUGCCCUUGACCACUUUUUACCCAAUAAUAUUUUUUAAUAUCACUUAUUCAUGCAUAGGUUUAAUUUUGAUGAGACCCAAUAGGUCACCCUAGUCUGUUUAUCCAUUUUACCUUGUUUACCCCUGAAUCAUUUGGGUAGUUAUGCUAUUGCCUCACAUGGUUUUGGGUUAAUAUUUCAUUAUAUCCAUGUUCCAAUUAUUUUGUUAUUCUAUUUAUGUUCAUGUCAAGAUCAUUAAUGUUAAUUGGAACAUGGAGCUUAACUUGAGAAACACGUGCCACCACAAGGGUGGAAUGGGACGCCCUUGGCUGACUAAUUAGGAAAGCUAGUGGAAGACUACCUUACCCGAAAAGGGCAAGGGCAGUAGGGGAGUUACAUGCAAGGAGGUUCUUGGGUUGAUUUUGCUGCGAUGGCGGUCAGACGGGGGAUUCUUGCAAGUGCUCUUCCCAUAAACUGUAGCGGGUUUUCUGAAGCUAGUGGAACUUUGUAAAGGCCUCGUAGUGUUGCCCUGCCUCGCUUCCUUGGUAGAGGUGUAUGGGAGUCGCGAUCCCUUGGCAGAUGGGUAACAUGACUUGUGGGUACAGGGUACAACCUCUACAGAGUGUAAAACUGGUAUACUAGCCGAGCUCACGGUCAUGAGCAGCUCAGGACUCUCGCAUGAUUAAUUUAUGAAACUUAAAUUCAAUUUGUCAUUUGCAUUGCAUGGGAUUAUUUAUUAAUUUUGUUCUAUUACUUUUAUUAAGGUUUGGUAUUUACUUACAUCUAGUAACUGCUAAUAAAAUUUUGACCAACUAAUUAAAAGCAAUGCUCAGCUUUAACCCAAUUGUUGAUCAGCCUUACACAUCACAUGAACUCCCACCUUUGGUGAGUUCAUGCCCACUGGUUUCCCCACAACUUGUUAAGUUAUGAUCAUGUGUGAGCUCACCCUUGAUGUCUCACACCCCCCCCACAGGAGAAGAACAGGUGGUUCAAGAGGAGCCACACAACGAGGAGUUUGAUCUGAUCUAGGUGGCGCUGUUUUGAUAUGAAAACAGUAAGAAAAUUUAUUUCUCACUUAAUCCUAUUUUAAGCAUAUAAAACAUUUGGAAAUUCAUAACUUAAAAUCUAUAACUCCAAAAUUUAUUAUUCCUAUUCUUAGGAUUUUAUUUUAAUGUGUAGAUUAUUAUUAUGUAUUUUUUACAUGUUUGGUGUGAUGUUAAUUUUCUCUAUAUACUGUGCUUGUUUGUAUUGUGGCGAGUAGAAGAGCCUGUGACUAAGGAUCCUGGUGCCCAGCAGAUAGAAGUUGCUGAGCAGGAGCUCAUUGAAGGCAAGUUGUGCCCUUGACCACUUUUUACCCAAUAAUAUUCUUUAAUAUCACUUAUUCAUGCAUAGGUUUAAUUUUGAUGGGACCCAAUAGGUCACCCUAGUCUGUUUAUCCAUUUUACCUUGUUUACCCCUGAAUCAUUUGGGUAGUUAUGCUAUUGCCUCACAUGGUUUUGGGUUAAUAUUUCAUUAUAUCCAUGUUCCAAUUAUUUUGUUAUUCUAUUUAUGUUCAUGUCAAGAUCAUUAAUGUUAAUUGGAACAUGGAGCUUAACUUGAGAAACACGUGCCACCACAAGGGUGGAAUGGGACGCCCUUGGCUGACUAAUUAGGAAAGCUAGUGGAAGACUACCUUACCCGAAAAGGGCAAGGGCAGUAGGGGAGUUACAUGCAAGGAGGUUCUCGGGUUGAUUUUUCUGCGAUGGCGGUCAGACGGGGGAUUCUUGCAAGUGCUCUUCCCAUAAACUGUAGCGGGUUUUCGGAAGCUAGUGGAACUUUGUAAAGACCUCGUAGUGUUGCCCUGCCUCGCUUCCUUGGAAGAGGUGUAUGGGAGUCGCGAUCCCUUGGCAGAUGGGUAACAUGACUUGUGGGUACAGGGUACAACCUCUGUAGAGUGUAAAACUGGUAUACUAGCCGAGCUCACGGUCAUGAGCAGCUCAGGACUCUCGCAUGAUUAAUUUAUGAAACUUAAAUUCAAUUUGUCAUUUGCAUUGCAUGGGAUUAUUUAUUAAUUUUGUUCUAUUACUUUUAUUAAGGUUUGGUAUUUACUUACAUCUAGUAAUUGCUAAUAAAAUUUUGACCAACUAAUUAAAAGCAAUGCUCAGCUUUAACCCAAUUGUUGAUCAGCCUUACACAUCACAUGAACUCCCACCUUUGGUGAGUUCAUGCCUACUGGUUUCCCCACAACUUGUUGAGCUAUGAUCAUGUGUGAGAUCACCCUUGCUGUCUCACACCCCCCCACAGGAGAAGAACAGGUGGUUCAAGAGGAGCCACACAACGAGGAGUUUGAUCUGAUCUAGGUGGUGUUUCCCGGUUGACUUUUCGCUCCAAGGAUGAUCCUUAGUUCGUUUUAUAUUUAUCUUUUAUUUUGUAAUAAGACUUCCGAUAUGUAAUAAAUACUCUGAUGUUAUUGUGACAUUUAUCUCUAUACACUCUGUUAUUAUAUAUGUUGUCUUCUUGGCGCAUGCAUCAGAUGCACCCGACUUUGUUCCUUAAAGCCUGGGUGUUACAGUCUCUUUGCUUCUAGCACACAACGUUGAUGUCGUUGGAUUGUGAUAGUUGCGUAAACAAGAAAAAUAUUUCAUUGGACAGCCUAAUUAUGCUUUUGCUACACAUACUGCUUUUCUUCCGGCUAGGAACAUCAUGGAGGGAGUGGUAGUCUUACAUGAGACUAUUCAUGAACUGCAUCGAAAGAAGUAAAAUGGGGUAAUUCUCAAGAUAGACUUUGAGAAGGCUUAUGAUAAAGUGAGGUGGAGUUUUGUUCAAUAAACUUUGCGGAUGAAAGGUUUCUCAGAUAAAUGGUGCUCUUGGAUUAAUGCUUUCAUUAGGGGUGGUCAUGUGGCAAUCAAAACAAAUGAUCAGUUGGGACAGUUUUUUCAAAUGAAAAAGGGGCAGCGACAAGGUGAUCCCUUAACUCCUCUCUUGUUUAAUAUUGUAGUUGACAUGUUGGCUAUAUUAGCCAAUAGAGCGAAACAAGUGGAUCAAUUAUCCGGCUUGGUGCCACAAUUAGUGGAUGGUGUCUUGUCGAUUCUCCAAUAUGUGGAUGACACCAUUUUAUUUAUGGUUCACGAUUUCGAGAAAGCAGUGAAUAUGAAAAUGCUUUUACGUGCUUUUGAGUAGUUAUCAGGGCUCAAAACUAAUUUCCACAAAAGUGAGGUUUAUUGCUUUGGAGAAGCAAAAACUCAAGAACAUCAAUACGCAUAGCUCUUUGGUUGCAGAAAAGGGGAUUACCCGUUUAGAUGCUUAGGUUUAUCAAUGCAUUAUAGAAACUAAGUAUGGUAGAUUGGAAGAUAAUUGAGAACAAUUUCGAAAAGAAAUUAUCGAGCUGGAAAGCGAAAUACAUGUAUGUGGGUGGAAGACUAGUUCUUAUUAACUCUACCCUUACAAGCCUUGCGAUGUUUUUGACCUGUUUUUUUGAGAUCCCAAGAGGUGUUUUGGAAAAAAUGGACUAUUACAGAUCGCGGUUUUUUGGCAAGGGGAGGAUAAUGAGAAGUCACUUUAUUCUAGUAGCUUCGGCUAUAUGUUGGGCAAUCUGGUUGAGCAGGAAUGAUGCAGUGUUUGAUAAUGCUCCAAUAAAAUCUUCUUUGCAGAUGGUUUUUCGGGCUAUGCAUUGGCUCCGCUUCUAGACUUAACUACAACUUAGACAGGAUGAUCAAGAACUAAUAAUCAAGGCAUGUCGUAGAUUGGAGGAGUUGGUGAUGCAGAUUUUUAGACAUCAUGGAUGGGGAUCUGCAUGUAGACUUUGUCUUUAGUCUCGUUUCGCCGCACUAUGUUUUGCUUUUCUCCGAGUUCUCAGAUAGUGAUAUUCCUAUCUGAGUCUGUAAUAAUUCGGCUAUAGUCUCUUUGAGACAAAGGCCGGGAACUUUCAAUUCCCAUUAUCUAAAAAUGUACAUAGAAAGAGUCAACUCACAAAAAUAUAGAAAUAGUCAGCAAUGCUUGUUCGUCUUGUCUAUCAACUCCACACCAAACCAACUUUUGUCGUACACAUUUUAAUAGAUCAAGCACUUGAUAGCUUCUUUCAAUUGUCAUAUUAAAAAUUUAGAUUGCUGCUAGGCGCAUAUUCUUUUUCUAGAACAAAUUUACUUUUAUUUUGUUAUAUGAAGAAAUGUUCAAAAUAUAAAUUGUACAUCAUGAUGAGUUAUACAAAUUUGUAGUUGAAAACUUUUUCAUUUGAAUUAAUUUACUGUUUUAAAAUGUGAUUUUUAAACUGUCUUUGCCUAGUGUUGAAAAAAACACUUGGCAAAGAAGCUCUUUGCCGAGUGUUAAAAAAACACUCGGCAAAGAAACUCUUUGAUGAGUGUCAAAAAUAAAACACUCGGCAAAAAACUUCUUUGCCGAAUGUUUUCUUUUACCGAGGGUUUUUUCUUGGCACUCGGCAAAGAGCCGAAUUCCGGUAGUGGCCUUUAUAUUGUUUAGAUGGCCACGUUCAGUUGUUACUAUAGCUAACUAUAGACGAAGGAAAUUCGGAUAUGAGACGCAUGUCGAUAGAAAUUAAUAAUUUUUCACCGGCUGUCUAAUAGAGUCCGAUGAAAACUAAGUGAUUUCUAGCUACUUCAUAGCGGCAUUUCGUUCUUCCUUUCUCACGACUCUACUCUCUCACACAUCCAGCUCCCCCUGCUCGUGUUGAUCAUUGCAUGGUUAAUUUAAUAUUAGUUUGGUCAACCUAGUUACAAUAUAAUAUUUGUUGGUUAGUUUUUUAUAAUUAGAUUUUACAUUUAGCUACUAGCAAUUUUUUGUGUUUAAAUAUAAUACGGUAUUAUCAAAUAAUUUCAUUUUUAAAAGCAUAUAAAAUAUUGAUAGGUUCAUAAAUUGUAUGUCAAUCGUUUCGAUCGGCAUACUUCAUAUGUGCCUCACAUGUGAGAUAUGUUGUUUUAGAAUCAUUUCUAUUUGAACGGUUUUAUGACGACUGACUAUGUGCUAUUUAUGGACAAUCUAGGUUUGCCGAGGGUGUAAAGGAAGAUGGUGAAAAGAUAAUAAAAAUUAUGCAUAAGCAACUUAAUAUUUUUAUAUAUGUCAUAUCAUCACUACUAGAAAAAUGGUCUUUAAUUUACAAACACCGAGGUGUGUUGUUACUAGAAAUGGCAAUGGAGCGUCGAUCCCUGAAUUUCCGAGGAGAAUUCCUUCAUUAGAGGAUGAGAAGUUUUUCCCCGACGGGGAUGUAAACGGGGAAUAAUUCUCCCCGACGAGUAAGGGACAUGGAUGGCCAGUGAAUUAUUUCUCAUCCCUGUUUCCCAUGGGGGCGUUAAACUUGCACAUGACGAUGAUUUCAUGUAACAGUUAAUGAUAAAAAUAAAUAAUUACCAUAGUAAUAGAUCACUCAUUAUACAAAUGUGUUUAUUUUGAUGUAUGCAUAACGAUUUCUUACAUCGGAUAAUGUGUCUAAGUAAAAGUGUUUUGCAUUAAUAACAAAGGACAUAUGUCCUAAUUAUAAUUUAAGCAGGGACGAGUACCCCUGUCAGGGAUUUAUCCUGUGGGGAAUGAGGAUGGGUAAAAAAUGUCCUUUAUAAGCGUUCGUGGAGAUCCCUAUUGAGAAAAAUAUUGUCACGGAAACGGAAUGGAGAGCUAUUCUCCAAUAAGAAAUUUUCCGUUGCCAUCGUUAAUUGUUACGGUUGGUUUGGUGUGGAACUGAAAGAUGUAUUUAUUUCCCAAUUCACAAAAGCAAAAAAACAUGGUCAACAAGUAAACACUGGGAAAAAUAAUCUAAUAUGACUCGUCAAUUGGUCAUGGAUGACGAUACGGAGAUUGUUGGAUAUAGUUACGAUGCUAUAUGAGGUGCAAAAAGUAAUUAAAGAUAUUACUCUCAGCGGACUUUUUAAUUGCCACAUUUUAGUUUAAAAAUAAACUAGCAAGCAACAAAUAUUUGAGAACGGAGGUAGUAUAUAGAAAGGUGGUGUAGUUUAAUUUCUCGUUGUUGACUUCUUUUUUCGGGGUGGGUAGGGGGGAGUGGUGACUCUUUCAAUAUACGUUGGUGAGCACAAGAUUGGAGGCAUGUUUGGUUCGCUGCCUAACUUACUAUAUUUUAUCUAACUUUUUUGCCUAAGGUUAGUUCUUGAAUUCGGACCACUAAUUUUAAGUAAAGUGUGACAUAGUUAGCCACUAACCAAAUAGGCCCUUGAUCGUUCAAUAAACCAUUUUUCUUGUUUACGCAACUAUCACAGUCCAACAACAGCAACACGGUCUUCAAAAAAUUGAAAGGACAGAGUACACGAAAAGCAUGGUAGGUUUAAACGUUCAAUUAAGAUAACUGUAUUGUUUUAUGGGCAGGUUCUAGAUGCUGGAGACUACUUCAAGUCGGCUGAUUCAUGUCGGCAUGCUAGAGAGACGGGUGUAAUAACCGUAGAUUACAUCAUGUCUGAAAGGAACCUUGCUGCUCCUUUCACCAAAGGAGUGGCUCAAAAGCCAAUCCAAGCAGCGUGCAUGGGAAUGGGACUCGUACCCUGUUAGCGGUUUUAACUGCGGAUAACUGUCCUGUGUGACCGGAGGUCCCGAGAUCCAGGCUCCAGGAAACGAAGCACUGUGGAACCAAGAGCACAAAAGAUAAAGAGUCUCAUGAGCUGCUGUGCUCUGUCUGUAUGGCAGGUUGAGCGAUAUGCUCUUAAUGAAGUCAAUGCUAUAAGCAGGGAAAUUGUCCUACAGAAUUUCCUUAAUGAAUUCACCUGUAUGAGCUGACUGUGGGGUCACAGUCGGGGAGAGAAUGGGGUUUUCUCUCUAGUGAGCUCAUGAAUAGAUAUUAAAGGGCAUGACCGUAACGCUGUCACACCCGGUUUUUAGAAGGCAAACCGAAUGCGAACCAUGUACGUGCCAGGAUCAGUUAUUCACGUACACAGCAGUUACAUAAUAUGGACAUCAUCACACAGUGCUCAAAAUGGUAUUAAUAAGGGAAAUAGUCGAUUACAUCAUACGUCUGAGACGUCCAUAUAGUUCUUACAAUAAAUCAAAGUGCGGAAAAGAAACGUAGAUAACACGGCCUUCACAGGCAGCCGACUGGGGGUUGCCGCUAACCCACACCUAGAACUCGUCGUAAUCUUGGAACUCCUGGAAGUCUCCUUCCACAGCUUCAUCUUCGCCUGAGCAGUGGUUGCAAUGCUGACAACCUGGGGGGGGUUUGGUGUGUAGAGCAAGGGUGAGUACACAUCAACAUACUCAGCAAGUAUCCUGUUUGGCUGUAGUGGACUAGCUUUAUGUGGGGAUAAGUCAAGCAGUUGCUUUUAGUUGGUCAGGUUAUUAUUUACUAGUAGAAAGCCAAGUUUUAGCAUUACCCAAGUUAUUAACCCGAUGUACCCUUUCCAAACGGAAAGAAUACCACUUACCAGCACCAUAGUCAUAACCAGAACCAUCAAUCUCGUAACCACCUGUACCACAAUGUCUCUGAUCAAGUACCACUAAUCAUUGGAGCUCCCUUGGCCGCUCAUAACCGCGAGCACGGCUGAUAUAUCAGUUUCAUAACACUCUGCAGAGGUUGUGCACUUUACCCACAAGCCGUGAUUCCCUCUCUGGCCCGGGCUUGCAAGACCCUUAUUCACUCCCGAGGUGAAUGGCCAGGGAUUCACUACGAAGCCUUUACAAAGAUUCCCCGGGGCUGUAGCCACCCGUUAGGUUUCCUAAAUGCACCGCACUCCUCCCCAAGGGGCGAACCCAAACUUGGCAGAGCGAGCCGCAUACACCGAGCCCCAUUGACGGCACGACGGCUAAGUGAACUACACCCCGGAUCCUCUAAUUAUUCAGCUAAGGGCACCCCAUUCCACCCUCAUGGUUGCACUGUUUUCCCGGGCGGUCAUCCAUAGAACAGGUCCUUACGGAGAGGCACUCGAGAAACCGCUCGAGUCCCCUUGAAAACCACAAGUAUAAUCAUAAAGAAGAACGGGAAAACAGCGUAUCAUAGAUAAUCACAUCAUGUUCAUUGAUUAGAGUUGAGCAAUAGCAUCAGACUAAGUAGUAAUAAUCCGACCCAAAUAGGUAAACAAGGACAUGGAUAACAAAAAGCUAGUCAAUCCUUAGGUAUAAAUGUGUAAUGCGGGAGGUGAAUUAAAGAAUGAAUAGGACAUAGAUAGGUCAAAGGACACUUGCCUCCACCAAACGACUGCUGCUCAGGGGCUUCUCCUGCGAAUUCCUCGGGCUCUUCGACCGGAUCGUUCUCUAUGCGAGCGCAAACAUACAUACAUACAUCCACAUAUUUAAUACAAAAGAACAGUACACCAUACAAGAUAACAAAUAAAGCGAAUAUGCAUCAAGUAUGACAUUCGAUAACGCAUUUGUUAUGGUUAGAAAGAAACGGGAAAGGUCUCGCAGGGGGUUAAAUCUUAUGCACUAAUGACACAAUUGGUUUUUAACAAAAUAAUUCUGUUAUAUAUAUUUAUAUAUACUAAUGGAAACCUAAUCACUUUUAGUUGAUCAACAUUGCACAGGGUAAACAAUUAACUACGUGAAUCAAUAGCAUAACGGAAUUUUAAAUUAAACUUCCUAUUUCCCAUAGCAUAAACAGUGAUUAGCCUACUUAAAAUACAGUAAUUAUGAUCACAGAAAGUAAAUAAAAUAAAAUAAAAAAAAAAAAAAACAGAAGGGGGGGCGGUUGAACCGGCCCUAGGGCGGUUGAACCGGCCCUAGGCGGGGCGCGCAGGGGCGGCCGAGCUGGCGAGGGCGGGGCGGCCGAACCGGCGGGGCAGGGGGCGGCCGAACCGGCGGGGCAGGGGCGGCGCAGGGGCGGCCGAGCCGGGCGAGGCAGGGGGCGGCGCAGGGGGCGGCCGAGCCGGCCGUGGGGCGGCCGAACCGGCGGGGCAGGGGGCGGCGCGGCCGAGCCGGCCGUGGGGCGGCUGGGCUGGGCGGCGGGCGGCCGGACCGGGCGGGCAGGGAGGCGGCCGAACCGGCCAUGGGGAAAGGGGAGAGGGGAUGGGGGAGGGAGGAGAGGGGGAGGGGGGAGCUCACCGGGGAGGGGCGCGACGGCGGCAGGGGCGGCCGGCGGCAGGGGCGGCCGAGGGCGGCGGUUGGGCAGGGGGCGGCGGCGGCUUAGGGCAGGGGUAGGGGCGGCGGCUUAGGGAGAGGGAGAGAAAAUGAGAGAAAAUGAGAGGGAGGGAGAAAGAAUUGGGGGAAAAAGGGGAGGGGGGGGCGGUUGGGCCUAUUGGGCCCAAGGGGGGGCGCGCAGGGGCCUGGGCCGGCCGGGGUCGGCCCACGGCGCGGGAGAGAGAGGAAAAGAGGAGAGAAAAAAGAGAGGGAGGAAGAAAAAGAAAGAAAAGAUCUUCUCCACAUUUUCGAAAUCCGAUCUUUCUACAUGAAUGCAAUUGCGCUUUCAAAGCAAUCAAAAGAAAUGCAAGGUUCGGCAUGGUGCAUCAAACAACAUAAAGUAUUUAGGGUUUUUAUACGUACGGGAAUUCCAAACCGAACCCCGCUAGAACUUUGGAAAAGGUCAAGGUUUAGCGAGGGGAAAAAGAAAAGGAAAAGGUAACGCCCGAAUUUUGGCGAGUAAAGAAAAGAAAAAAUUCAACUGCAAAAUUCGGGGCGUUACAAACCUAUCCCCCUUAAAAGAAUCUCGCCCUCGAGAUUCAGGGCUGGCUAGCAAAGAGCUCCGGGUACUUAGCCAUCAGAUCAUCUUCACGCUCCCAGGUUGCUUCUUCCUCAGAGUGGUGACUCCAUCUGACUUUGCACAUCCUGACGGUCUUCCUUCGGGUGACUCUAUCUGCAACCUCAAGGAUCUGAGCUGGCUUCUCAACAUAGGUCAAGUCCUCCUGGACUUCCAGACCUUCCACUGGCAACUGCUCUUCUGGCACACGCAAGCACUUCUUCAACUGAGACACAUGAAAGACAUCAUGCACAGCAGACAAAUUCUCUGGCAAACUGAGCUGAUAGGCCACUUCUCCACGUCUUGCAAGAAUCUGAUACGGACCAAUGUAGCGGGGUGCUAGCUUGCCUUUGACUCCGAAUCUUCUGACUCCUCUGAUCGGUGACACUUUCAGAUAAACAAAGUCUCCGACUUCGAAACUCAGCUCUCUUCUUCUUGUGUCUGCAUAGCUUCGCUGCCUCGAUUGCGCUAUCUUCAGAUUCUCUCGGACCAUCUUGAUGUUCUCUUCGGCUUCGAGCAAAAUGUCUGGCCCAAACACCUGCUUCUCUCCAGGCUGAUCCCAUUGCAACGGAGUUCUGCAACUCCUUCCAUACAGCGCUUGAAAUGGUGACAUCUUCAAACUGGCCUGAUAACUGUUGUUAUAGGAAAACUCCGCAUAAGGCAAUCGCUUGUCCCAUCCGGACUGAUCUUGCAACGCACAGGCUCUCAACAUAUCUUCAAGGAUUUGAUUGGUUCUUUCAGUCUGACCAUCUGUCUGCGGGUGAUAAGUUGAACUGAAAUUCAGAUGCGUGCCCAAGGCUUCAUGCAACUGCUGCCAGAAAUGAGAGGUGAACUGCGUUCCUCUGUCUGACACUAUCUUCUUUGGUACACCAUGAAGACAAACGAUCCGAGACAUAUACAAUUCUGCCAAUACUGCACUGUUGUAGUUGGUCUUGACAGGUAUGAAGUGGGCUGACUUGGUCAAGCGGUCCACUACUACCCAAAUGGAAUCGUAGCCGGCUCGAGUGCGAGGCAAUCCGACUAUGAAAUCCAUACCAAUUUCAUCCCAUUUCCACUGAGGGAUCUGCAAUGGUUGCAACAAUCCAGCUGGUCUCUGGUGUUCUGCCUUAAUUCUUCGACAACUAUCGCACAUAGCCACAUGCUCUGCGAUUUCUCUUUUCAUUCCGUACCACCAGAAUUUCUUCUUCAGAUCCUGAUACAUCUUCUCACUGCCAGGGUGAAUCGAAUAAGCUGUCUCAUGAGCUUCCUUAAGAAUCAACUCCCGAAUAGACUGGACAUUGGGAACACACAAGCGGUCUUUGAACCAUACCACACCUUCUGCAUCUUCUCGAAAGUCUUUGCCUCUGCCAUCUAGAAUCAAUCGCCGAAUCUCACUGAUCUUUUCAUCAUUCUUCUGCGCUUCUUUGAUUUCGCGCUCCAAGGUAGGUUCCAACUCAACUGUGACUCCUCGCGAAUUGUUCAGAAAUCCGAGACUCAACCUGUCAAACUCCUUGGCCAACUCAUAAGGCAUCGGACGAGCGACCAUCAGAUUGACUUGACUCUUUCUGCUCAAAGCAUCUGCCACUACGUUUGCUUUGCCUGGAUGGUAAUGAAUCUCCAACUCAUAGUCUUUGAUCAAUUCUAACCAUCUUCGUUGCCUCAUGUUCAAUUCUGACUGAGUGAAUAUGUACUUCAGACUCUUGUGGUCUGUGUAAACAUCGCAUUUCUGUCCAUACAGGUAGUGCCUCCAUGUCUUCAGUGCGUGAACCACUGCUGCCAACUCUAGAUCAUGGAUUGGGUAAUUCUUCUCAUGAACCUUCAACUGUCGGGACGAGUAAGCCACAACUCUUCCCUCUUGCAUCAACACACAUCCCAAACCUGUGUAACAAGCAUCACAGUACACCGAGAAGGGCUUGUGCACAUCAGGCAAGACUAGGACAGGCGCUGUAGUCAACUUCUCUUUCAGCGCUUCAAAGGCCUCUUGGCAUUUCUGGGUCCACUUGAACUCAACUUUGUUGCCUAGCAACGCUGUCAUUGGCUUCGCAAUCUUCGAAAACCCUUCAAUGAAUCGCCGAUAAUAUCCGGCCAUUCCAAUGAAGCUCUUGAUUCCUCUAGCAUCUGUUGGCGCUUUCCAGUUUAGAAUGUCUGCCACUUUCUUCGGAUCCACAGCCAAUCCUUCUUUGUUGAUUAUGUGACCCAAGAACAGGACUUCACUGAUCCAGAACUCACACUUGCUCAACUUUGCAUACAACUGGUGCUCUCGCAAUCUCUGCAAUACCAUCCUCAAAUGAUCUGCAUGCUCUUCUUCACUUUGAGAAUAAACCAGAAUAUCAUCAAUGAAUACCACCACGAACUUAUCAAGGUAAUCCAUGAAUACACUGUUCAUCAAGUUCAUAAAGAACGCUGGUGCAUUGGUCAAACCAAAAGACAUCACUGUGAAUUCAUAUAAACCAUACUUGGUAAUGAAUGCCGUCUUCGGAAUGUCCGAAGGUCGGAUCCUGAGCUGAUGAUAACCUGACCUCAGAUCGAUCUUGGAGAACACACUGGCUCCUCUCAACUGGUCGAACAGAUCUUCUAUUCUGGGCAAGGGAUACUUGUUCUUGAUCGUGACCUCAUUCAAAGCUCGGUAAUCAAUACACAUCCUCUUGGUGCCAUCUUUCUUUUCCACAAACAAGACAGGGGCGGCCCAAGGCGAGGUGCUUGGCCGGAUGUAACCUUUCUCUGACAGCUCAUCAAUCUGCUUCUUAAGCUCAUCCAACUCUGGUCCAGAUAUUCUGUAAGCUCUCUUGAAGAUAGGGGCGGUUCCAGGAAGAAGCUCUAUAGCAAAUUCAACUUUCCGCUCUGGCGGCAUACCCGGUAAAUCCUUUGGAAACACGUCUGGGAAUUCAGACACAACCUUGAUACUCUCAAUUGGGUCUGCUUCACUGCUAUCGACAGCCAUCUGAUAACAACUUCCUUUCUUUGGCUCAGGCGGGACUAACUCGGUCACCACUUCCUCUCCUAGUGGGGACACUAACUUGAUUGUCCUUUUAUCACAACUGAUAACUGCCUGAUACUUAUCUAACCAGUUCAUCCCUAGGAUGACAUCUAUUCCCUGAGUACCCAUUACUAUAAGGUUGGCGGGAAAUGCUAUCCCCCUUAUUUCCACACUUACAUUUAAACAAAUGCUAUCAGCUCGAAUUCUACCACCGGCUGAGUCAAUUUGAAUGGGGGUUAACAUGGUAGUAGUUGGAAGAUUAUGUGCUUCUACCCAUGAUGCAGUAAUGAAAGAAUGUGUUGCUCCAGUAUCAAAUAACACUUCUGCAAUAUGGGAGUCGACUGGGAACAUACCUACUGUCAUAUCGGGGGUCUCCUGAACUGCUUCAGCCUCCAAGUGAUUCAAUCUUCCAUGAUUAUAGCGCUGCUGAGAGCGAUUGCCUGCUCCAGGCUGAGGCACAUUCUGCUUUGCUGGGGCAUUGGGGCCUGACUGCUGCUGGGCUGCCUUCUUCGGACAUUGCAUCACCCAGUGGCCUUGCUCUCCACAGUGGAAACAUGCUCUGUUUCCAACUUGAGCUGGUGCUGCCUGACUGUUCUGCUGAUUUGCUGGGGCAGGAAGACGAGGUGCUUGCUGAUUCUGCUUCUGAAACUGACCUCCUGACUGAUUGCUCUGACGAUUCUGGUACUGGUGCUGAGGAUACUGCCUUUGGAACUGCUGAUACUGCUGACGCUGCUGAUGCUGCUGAGGUGGACGCUGGUUCUGCCUGAACUGCUGAGGUUGAUUGCCUGAGAAACGGGGACGGCUGCUGCUUCCAGGCUGGGGUCCACUGAUCUUGCGCUUACGAUCUUCCAUCUCCUUGCGCUUUCUCUCUGUCAUGAUCGCUCUAUCAAUCAGGUGCUGGAAUGUCGGGAAGGUGUGAUUCAUCAGCUGAUACUGCAGAGGGUCAACCAAGCCUCUCAGAAAACGGUACUGUCGCUUGGCGUCGGUGUUGACAUCUUCAGGAGCAUAGCGAGACAAUUGCAGAAACCUGUCUCGAUACUCACUGACCGACGAUGACCCUUGCUUAAGGGCCAGGAACUCCUCCUUCUUCACUGUCAUCAGACCUGCAGGCACAUGGUACUGACGAAAGCUACUUCUGAAUUCUUCCCAGGUGAUGGUGUCGGGGUUGGCAUGUGUGGCGAGGUAAGACUCCCACCAUGACUGGGCUGCUCCUCUCAACAGACGGGGACCAUACAAGACUUUCUCCCUGUCAUCGCACUGAGCGGUAUGCAACUCCCGCUCCACAGUGCGCAGCCAAUCUUCAGCAUCCAUGGGGUCAGAAGAGUGAGCGAACGUUGGUGGAUGACCUCUCAUGAAUUCAGCACGCUUGUCUCUAGGCAUCUGAGGCAUCUGAGGCUGGGGUGGUGCUUGCUGCUGUUGCUGCUGCUGCUGCUGCUGAAUGGCGGCCAGAGUCUGACCGAUGGCUUGAACUGCCUGAGUCUGCAUCAGAAACAUCUGCUCAAUCGACAUCGGGGGCGGGGGCGGCAGGUGCUGCUGCUGGGCACCUCAUCCUGCGGAGCGGCUCGCUCCUGCUGAGCACGCCUUCCUCCUCUACGCCUGUUCUCUGACAUCUGCAGAACGCAACCACACAUCAGAACUGAUCUGGCAAAGCUUGCAGCAUAAGAAAAGAGUAUAGAAUUCUCCAACAGCACUGAACAGAUGAGCAUCUUCACUGAUCUCCAACACAGACCACACAGCUUCUCAGAUAAAGAGGAAAGGAGAAUAAUGGGUUUCCCAACUAUAUAACUAACUUUAUUGACAUAGUAUGUAAACCAAAAGGCAGGGGAUACCCACACUCUGGUGACAAUCAUUACAAAGAUCCAAACCAAACAUAGUUCAUCAUGACAAACAUAGAUGCACAGGAUAUAGCAACUACCCUGUCUAACUAAAACUAACUAAGACCGAGACUAACGCUAAGACUGAAGCUUCCAUGUAUAUAUUUAUUUCGUAUUAAUUACAAGAUCCAACUCUAACGAUCUAUGGUUCUAGAUUUAUCUUGGUCUUGCAGGCGGGAUUGCCAUAAGACUGGUGUCCACGCUGAGGUGAGCGGUACGGGUGCUGAGUCCCAACGGGAGCGGGGGAACCACCGUCCAGAAACGACGUUCCGCGCGCUCAGCCCGCAGCAGGGCGAUCUCAGCACGAGCCCUACUCAGCUCGUCUAAUGCAUGGUCCAGCUCCGUGUUUAGCACGGCGGCUAGGUUGACUGUGCUGCUCAACCUAGGAUUGCCCUCACCGACAGGUGAGACAAUCACGCCUCCUGUGCUGCCAGAUGAACGGCGGGGGUAAUACUUCAGGUCAAGACCAUCAGCUGCCCCACCGAAAACCGAGCAGUAGUGCGAAAGCGCACGCCGUGCAGCAUCUUGCAUGGCUGCCUCAGCUGAGUCCCGCUCAGAGAUAGAAUAGUGCUCUGAACAGGCCUCUGCACCCUGGAGACUGUCCUCCGGGCAGCGCACCAAGCAAGUAGCCUCCCAGCGGUCCAGGUAGACCCCGCGACUAUGCUGGUAGACCACACAGCGAUACUCGACGGACCAAGUAUGCCGGUCAAAUGCCCGACGUAGCAGGGUGUCGAGCGCAUCGUGGAAGUGACACCCGCGAGCAGCGUCGCGAGUGAUGGGUCGAGCAACCCAUCCUUCCGGCUCAGGGUUAGCAGAGAAGUCGGUGUCGUGGCUCGAGCUGUCGUCGCCAUCUCCGUCGUCUGGGUCUCCUCCAGCAGCUACUCCAGAAGCUGGGGCGCCCAGUGGUGGUGCAGGGGGCGGCUCCAGAGGAAGCACAGGGGAGCAGCUCCUCACAGACUCUAUCUCCUGGUGGAGCGAGAAGGAAGAGCUCUGCUGCUCCUGUCGUCGACGCUCCUGCUCCUCACGCAGGCGGUGGUGUAGUCUCUCCAAGUGGCUGGACUGUCCGGCCACGGGACGGCGAAGCGGACGCUCAGCAAGGCGGGAAGGUAAGAAGGGGAUGACUGACUUUCGUGCAGUGUGUCUAAGUCGAGCCAUCUACAAAAGACAUCGCAAGCAAAAGGGUGAGAACAGAAUUAAUAUGACCAGCAAGUAAUGAAUCAUAAAUAAAUGAAGGAUCAGAAUAAACAUAAUUUUCAGCAAGGUAUAAUUUAUAGUAGAACAUAGGUUUGGUCAGUAGGACCAACUUUUGAAGGGAUAUCAAAGUCAAGGAAGAGACAGAGGUCUAUAAUCCUUAGAACGGCCAUUCUACUCUAGGUUAGCGGUCCUACAGUCAGCACGGCUUUGAUACCACUUAUGUCACACCCGGUUUUUAGAAGGCAAACCGAAUGCGAACCAUGUACGUGCCAGGAUCAGUUAUUCACGUACACAGCAGUUACAUAAUAUGGACAUCAUCACACAGNNNNNNNNNNNNNNNNNNNNNNNNNNNNNNNNNNNNNNNNNNNNNNNNNNNNNNNNNNNNNNNNNNNNNNNNNNNNNNNNNNNNNNNNNNNNNNNNNNNNGGUAGGGCGGCGGGCUUAGGGAGGAGGAGAAAAUGAGAGAAAAUGAGGGGGGAGAAGAAUGGGGAAAAGGGAGGGGGGGCGGUUGGGCUAUUGGGCCCAAGGGGGGGCGCGGCAGGGCCUGGGCCGGCCGGGUCGGCCCACGGCGCGGGAGAGAGAGGAAAAGAGGAGAGAAAAAAAGAGAGGGAGGAGAAAAAGAAAGAAAAGAUCUUCUCCACAUUUUCGAAAUCCGAUCUUUUACAUGAAUGCAAUUGCGCUUUCAAAGCAAUCAAAGAAUGCAAGGUUCGGCAUGGUGCAUCAAACAACAUAAAGUAUUUAGGGUUUUUAUACGUACGGGAAUUCCAAACCGAACCCCGCUAGAACUUUGGAAAAGGUCAAGGUUUAGCGAGGGGAAAAGAAAAGGAAAAGGUAACGCCCGAAUUUUGGCGAGUAAAGAAAAGAAAAAAUUCAACUGCAAAAUUCGGGGCGUUACAAACCUAUCCCCCUUAAAAGAAUCUCGCCCUCGAGAUUCAGGGCUGGCUAGCAAAGAGCUCCGGGUACUUAGCCAUCAGAUCAUCUUCACGCUCCCAGGUUGCUUCUUCCUCAGAGUGGUGACUCCAUCUGACUUUGCACAUCCUGACGGUCUUCCUUCGGGUGACUCUAUCUGCAACCUCAAGGAUCUGAGCUGGCUUCUCAACAUAGGUCAAGUCCUCCUGGACUUCCAGACCUUCCACUGGCAACUGCUCUUCUGGCACACGCAAGCACUUCUUCAACUGAGACACAUGAAAGACAUCAUGCACAGCAGACAAAUUCUCUGGCAAACUGAGCUGAUAGGCCACUUCUCCACGUCUUGCAAGAAUCUGAUACGGACCAAUGUAGCGGGGUGCUAGCUUGCCUUUGACUCCGAAUCUUCUGACUCCUCUGAUCGGUGACACUUUCAGAUAAACAAAGUCUCCGACUUCGAAACUCAGCUCUCUUCUUCUUGUGUCUGCAUAGCUUCGCUGCCUCGAUUGCGCUAUCUUCAGAUUCUCUCGGACCAUCUUGAUGUUCUCUUCGGCUUCGAGCAAAAUGUCUGGCCCAAACACCUGCUUCUCUCCAGGCUGAUCCCAUUGCAACGGAGUUCUGCAACUCCUUCCAUACAGCGCUUGAAAUGGUGACAUCUUCAAACUGGCCUGAUAACUGUUGUUAUAGGAAAACUCCGCAUAAGGCAAUCGCUUGUCCCAUCCGGACUGAUCUUGCAACGCACAGGCUCUCAACAUAUCUUCAAGGAUUUGAUUGGUUCUUUCAGUCUGACCAUCUGUCUGCGGGUGAUAAGUUGAACUGAAAUUCAGAUGCGUGCCCAAGGCUUCAUGCAACUGCUGCCAGAAAUGAGAGGUGAACUGCGUUCCUCUGUCUGACACUAUCUUCUUUGGUACACCAUGAAGACAAACGAUCCGAGACAUAUACAAUUCUGCCAAUACUGCACUGUUGUAGUUGGUCUUGACAGGUAUGAAGUGGGCUGACUUGGUCAAGCGGUCCACUACUACCCAAAUGGAAUCGUAGCCGGCUCGAGUGCGAGGCAAUCCGACUAUGAAAUCCAUACCAAUUUCAUCCCAUUUCCACUGAGGGAUCUGCAAUGGUUGCAACAAUCCAGCUGGUCUCUGGUGUUCUGCCUUAAUUCUUCGACAACUAUCGCACAUAGCCACAUGCUCUGCGAUUUCUCUUUUCAUUCCGUACCACCAGAAUUUCUUCUUCAGAUCCUGAUACAUCUUCUCACUGCCAGGGUGAAUCGAAUAAGCUGUCUCAUGAGCUUCCUUAAGAAUCAACUCCCGAAUAGACUGGACAUUGGGAACACACAAGCGGUCUUUGAACCAUACCACACCUUCUGCAUCUUCUCGAAAGUCUUUGCCUCUGCCAUCUAGAAUCAAUCGCCGAAUCUCACUGAUCUUUUCAUCAUUCUUCUGCGCUUCUUUGAUUUCGCGCUCCAAGGUAGGUUCCAACUCAACUGUGACUCCUCGCGAAUUGUUCAGAAAUCCGAGACUCAACCUGUCAAACUCCUUGGCCAACUCAUAAGGCAUCGGACGAGCGACCAUCAGAUUGACUUGACUCUUUCUGCUCAAAGCAUCUGCCACUACGUUUGCUUUGCCUGGAUGGUAAUGAAUCUCCAACUCAUAGUCUUUGAUCAAUUCUAACCAUCUUCGUUGCCUCAUGUUCAAUUCUGACUGAGUGAAUAUGUACUUCAGACUCUUGUGGUCUGUGUAAACAUCGCAUUUCUGUCCAUACAGGUAGUGCCUCCAUGUCUUCAGUGCGUGAACCACUGCUGCCAACUCUAGAUCAUGGAUUGGGUAAUUCUUCUCAUGAACCUUCAACUGUCGGGACGAGUAAGCCACAACUCUUCCCUCUUGCAUCAACACACAUCCCAAACCUGUGUAACAAGCAUCACAGUACACCGAGAAGGGCUUGUGCACAUCAGGCAAGACUAGGACAGGCGCUGUAGUCAACUUCUCUUUCAGCGCUUCAAAGGCCUCUUGGCAUUUCUGGGUCCACUUGAACUCAACUUUGUUGCCUAGCAACGCUGUCAUUGGCUUCGCAAUCUUCGAAAACCCUUCAAUGAAUCGCCGAUAAUAUCCGGCCAUUCCAAUGAAGCUCUUGAUUCCUCUAGCAUCUGUUGGCGCUUUCCAGUUUAGAAUGUCUGCCACUUUCUUCGGAUCCACAGCCAAUCCUUCUUUGUUGAUUAUGUGACCCAAGAACAGGACUUCACUGAUCCAGAACUCACACUUGCUCAACUUUGCAUACAACUGGUGCUCUCGCAAUCUCUGCAAUACCAUCCUCAAAUGAUCUGCAUGCUCUUCUUCACUUUGAGAAUAAACCAGAAUAUCAUCAAUGAAUACCACCACGAACUUAUCAAGGUAAUCCAUGAAUACACUGUUCAUCAAGUUCAUAAAGAACGCUGGUGCAUUGGUCAAACCAAAAGACAUCACUGUGAAUUCAUAUAAACCAUACUUGGUAAUGAAUGCCGUCUUCGGAAUGUCCGAAGGUCGGAUCCUGAGCUGAUGAUAACCUGACCUCAGAUCGAUCUUGGAGAACACACUGGCUCCUCUCAACUGGUCGAACAGAUCUUCUAUUCUGGGCAAGGGAUACUUGUUCUUGAUCGUGACCUCAUUCAAAGCUCGGUAAUCAAUACACAUCCUCUUGGUGCCAUCUUUCUUUUCCACAAACAAGACAGGGGCGGCCCAAGGCGAGGUGCUUGGCCGGAUGUAACCUUUCUCUGACAGCUCAUCAAUCUGCUUCUUAAGCUCAUCCAACUCUGGUCCAGAUAUUCUGUAAGCUCUCUUGAAGAUAGGGGCGGUUCCAGGAAGAAGCUCUAUAGCAAAUUCAACUUUCCGCUCUGGCGGCAUACCCGGUAAAUCCUUUGGAAACACGUCUGGGAAUUCAGACACAACCUUGAUACUCUCAAUUGGGUCUGCUUCACUGCUAUCGACAGCCAUCUGAUAACAACUUCCUUUCUUUGGCUCAGGCGGGACUAACUCGGUCACCACUUCCUCUCCUAGUGGGGACACUAACUUGAUUGUCCUUUUAUCACAACUGAUAACUGCCUGAUACUUAUCUAACCAGUUCAUCCCUAGGAUGACAUCUAUUCCCUGAGUACCCAUUACUAUAAGGUUGGCGGGAAAUGCUAUCCCCCUUAUUUCCACACUUACAUUUAAACAAAUGCUAUCAGCUCGAAUUCUACCACCGGCUGAGUCAAUUUGAAUGGGGGUUAACAUGGUAGUAGUUGGAAGAUUAUGUGCUUCUACCCAUGAUGCAGUAAUGAAAGAAUGUGUUGCUCCAGUAUCAAAUAACACUUCUGCAAUAUGGGAGUCGACUGGGAACAUACCUACUGUCAUAUCGGGGGUCUCCUGAACUGCUUCAGCCUCCAAGUGAUUCAAUCUUCCAUGAUUAUAGCGCUGCUGAGAGCGAUUGCCUGCUCCAGGCUGAGGCACAUUCUGCUUUGCUGGGGCAUUGGGGCCUGACUGCUGCUGGGCUGCCUUCUUCGGACAUUGCAUCACCCAGUGGCCUUGCUCUCCACAGUGGAAACAUGCUCUGUUUCCAACUUGAGCUGGUGCUGCCUGACUGUUCUGCUGAUUUGCUGGGGCAGGAAGACGAGGUGCUUGCUGAUUCUGCUUCUGAAACUGACCUCCUGACUGAUUGCUCUGACGAUUCUGGUACUGGUGCUGAGGAUACUGCCUUUGGAACUGCUGAUACUGCUGACGCUGCUGAUGCUGCUGAGGUGGACGCUGGUUCUGCCUGAACUGCUGAGGUUGAUUGCCUGAGAAACGGGGACGGCUGCUGCUUCCAGGCUGGGGUCCACUGAUCUUGCGCUUACGAUCUUCCAUCUCCUUGCGCUUUCUCUCUGUCAUGAUCGCUCUAUCAAUCAGGUGCUGGAAUGUCGGGAAGGUGUGAUUCAUCAGCUGAUACUGCAGAGGGUCAACCAAGCCUCUCAGAAAACGGUACUGUCGCUUGGCGUCGGUGUUGACAUCUUCAGGAGCAUAGCGAGACAAUUGCAGAAACCUGUCUCGAUACUCACUGACCGACGAUGACCCUUGCUUAAGGGCCAGGAACUCCUCCUUCUUCACUGUCAUCAGACCUGCAGGCACAUGGUACUGACGAAAGCUACUUCUGAAUUCUUCCCAGGUGAUGGUGUCGGGGUUGGCAUGUGUGGCGAGGUAAGACUCCCACCAUGACUGGGCUGCUCCUCUCAACAGACGGGGACCAUACAAGACUUUCUCCCUGUCAUCGCACUGAGCGGUAUGCAACUCCCGCUCCACAGUGCGCAGCCAAUCUUCAGCAUCCAUGGGGUCAGAAGAGUGAGCGAACGUUGGUGGAUGACCUCUCAUGAAUUCAGCACGCUUGUCUCUAGGCAUCUGAGGCAUCUGAGGCUGGGGUGGUGCUUGCUGCUGUUGCUGCUGCUGCUGCUGCUGAAUGGCGGCCAGAGUCUGACCGAUGGCUUGAACUGCCUGAGUCUGCAUCAGAAACAUCUGCUCAAUCGACAUCGGGGGCGGGGGCGGCAGGUGCUGCUGCUGGGGCACCUCAUCCUGCGGAGCGGCUCGCUCCUGCUGAGCACGCCUUCCUCCUCUACGCCUGUUCUCUGACAUCUGCAGAACGCAACCACACAUCAGAACUGAUCUGGCAAAGCUUGCAGCAUAAGAAAAGAGUAUAGAAUUCUCCAACAGCACUGAACAGAUGAGCAUCUUCACUGAUCUCCAACACAGACCACACAGCUUCUCAGAUAAAGAGGAAAGGAGAAUAAUGGGUUUCCCAACUAUAUAACUAACUUUAUUGACAUAGUAUGUAAACCAAAAGGCAGGGGAUACCCACACUCUGGUGACAAUCAUUACAAAGAUCCAAACCAAACAUAGUUCAUCAUGACAAACAUAGAUGCACAGGAUAUAGCAAACUACCCUGUCUAACUAAAACUAACUAAGACCGAGACUAACGCUAAGACUGAAGCUUCCAUGUAUAUAUUUAUUUCGUAUUAAUUACAAGAUCCAACUCUAACGAUCUAUGGUUCUAGAUUUAUCUUGGUCUUGCAGGCGGGAUUGCCAUAAGACUGGUGUCCACGCUGAGGUGAGCGGUACGGGUGCUGAGUCCCAACGGGAGCGGGGGAACCACCGUCCAGAAAACGACGUUCCGCGCGCUCAGCCCGCAGCAGGGCGAUCUCAGCACGAGCCCUACUCAGCUCGUCUAAUGCAUGGUCCAGCUCCGUGUUUAGCACGGCGGCUAGGUUGACUGUGCUGCUCAACCUAGGAUUGCCCUCACCGACAGGUGAGACAAUCACGCCUCCUGUGCUGCCAGAUGAACGGCGGGGGUAAUACUUCAGGUCAAGACCAUCAGCUGCCCCACCGAAAACCGAGCAGUAGUGCGAAAGCGCACGCCGUGCAGCAUCUUGCAUGGCUGCCUCAGCUGAGUCCCGCUCAGAGAUAGAAUAGUGCUCUGAACAGGCCUCUGCACCCUGGAGACUGUCCUCCGGGCAGCGCACCAAGCAAGUAGCCUCCCAGCGGUCCAGGUAGACCCCGCGACUAUGCUGGUAGACCACACAGCGAUACUCGACGGACCAAGUAUGCCGGUCAAAUGCCCGACGUAGCAGGGUGUCGAGCGCAUCGUGGAAGUGACACCCGCGAGCAGCGUCGCGAGUGAUGGGUCGAGCAACCCAUCCUUCCGGCUCAGGGUUAGCAGAGAAGUCGGUGUCGUGGCUCGAGCUGUCGUCGCCAUCUCCGUCGUCUGGGUCUCCUCCAGCAGCUACUCCAGAAGCUGGGGCGCCCAGUGGUGGUGCAGGGGGCGGCUCCAGAGGAAGCACAGGGGAGCAGCUCCUCACAGACUCUAUCUCCUGGUGGAGCGAGAAGGAAGAGCUCUGCUGCUCCUGUCGUCGACGCUCCUGCUCCUCACGCAGGCGGUGGUGUAGUCUCUCCAAGUGGCUGGACUGUCCGGCCACGGGACGGCGAAGCGGACGCUCAGCAAGGCGGGAAGGUAAGAAGGGGAUGACUGACUUUCGUGCAGUGUGUCUAAGUCGAGCCAUCUACAAAAGACAUCGCAAGCAAAAGGGUGAGAACAGAAUUAAUAUGACCAGCAAGUAAUGAAUCAUAAAUAAAUGAAGGAUCAGAAUAAAACAUAAUUUUCAGCAAGGUAUAAUUUAUAGUAGAACAUAGGUUUGGUCAGUAGGACCAACUUUUGAAGGGAUAUCAAAGUCAAGGAAGAGACAGAGGUCUAUAAUCCUUAGAACGGCCAUUCUACUCUAGGUUAGCGGUCCUACAGUCAGCACGGCUUUGAUACCACUUAUGUCACACCCGGUUUUUAGAAGGCAAACCGAAUGCGAACCAUGUACGUGCCAGGAUCAGUUAUUCACGUACACAGCAGUUACAUAAUAUGGACAUCAUCACACAGUGCUCAAAAUGGUAUUAAUAAGGGAAAUAGUCGAUUACAUCAUACGUCUGAGACGUCCAUAUAGUUCUUACAAUAAAUCAAAGUGCGGAAAAGAAACGUAGAUAACACGGCCUUCACAGGCAGCCGACUGGGGGUUGCCGCUAACCCACACCUAGAACUCGUCGUAAUCUUGGAACUCCUGGAAGUCUCCUUCCACAGCUUCAUCUUCGCCUGAGCAGUGGUUGCAAUGCUGACAACCUGGGGGGGGGUUUGGUGUGUAGAGCAAGGGUGAGUACACAUCAACAUACUCAGCAAGUAUCCUGUUUGGCUGUAGUGGACUAGCUUUAUGUGGGGAUAAGUCAAGCAGUUGCUUUUAGUUGGUCAGGUUAUUAUUUACUAGUAGAAAGCCAAGUUUUAGCAUUACCCAAGUUAUUAACCCGAUGUACCCUUUCCAAACGGAAAGAAUACCACUUACCAGCACCAUAGUCAUAACCAGAACCAUCAAUCUCGUAACCACCUGUACCACAAUGUCUCUGAUCAAGUACCACUAAUCAUUGGAGCUCCCUUGGCCGCUCAUAACCGCGAGCACGGCUGAUAUAUCAGUUUCAUAACACUCUGCAGAGGUUGUGCACUUUACCCACAAGCCGUGAUUCCCUCUCUGGCCCGGGCUUGCAAGACCCUUAUUCACUCCCGAGGUGAAUGGCCAGGGAUUCACUACGAAGCCUUUACAAAGAUUCCCCGGGGCUGUAGCCACCCGUUAGGUUUCCUAAAUGCACCGCACUCCUCCCCAAGGGGCGAACCCAAACUUGGCAGAGCGAGCCGCAUACACCGAGCCCCAUUGACGGCACGACGGCUAAGUGAACUACACCCCGGAUCCUCUAAUUAUUCAGCUAAGGGCACCCCAUUCCACCCUCAUGGUUGCACUGUUUUCCCGGGCGGUCAUCCAUAGAACAGGUCCUUACGGAGAGGCACUCGAGAAACCGCUCGAGUCCCCUUGAAAACCACAAGUAUAAUCAUAAAGAAGAACGGGAAAACAGCGUAUCAUAGAUAAUCACAUCAUGUUCAUUGAUUAGAGUUGAGCAAUAGCAUCAGACUAAGUAGUAAUAAUCCGACCCAAAUAGGUAAACAAGGACAUGGAUAACAAAAAGCUAGUCAAUCCUUAGGUAUAAAUGUGUAAUGCGGGAGGUGAAUUAAAGAAUGAAUAGGACAUAGAUAGGUCAAAGGACACUUGCCUCCACCAAACGACUGCUGCUCAGGGGCUUCUCCUGCGAAUUCCUCGGGCUCUUCGACCGGAUCGUUCUCUAUGCGAGCGCAAACAUACAUACAUACAUCCACAUAUUUAAUACAAAAGAACAGUACACCAUACAAGAUAACAAAUAAAGCGAAUAUGCAUCAAGUAUGACAUUCGAUAACGCAUUUGUUAUGGUUAGAAAGAAACGGGAAAGGUCUCGCAGGGGGUUAAAUCUUAUGCACUAAUGACACAAUUGGUUUUUAACAAAAUAAUUCUGUUAUAUAUAUUUAUAUAUACUAAUGGAAACCUAAUCACUUUUAGUUGAUCAACAUUGCACAGGGUAAACAAUUAACUACGUGAAUCAAUAGCAUAACGGAAUUUUAAAUUAAACUUCCUAUUUCCCAUAGCAUAAACAGUGAUUAGCCUACUUAAAAUACAGUAAUUAUGAUCACAGAAAGUAAAUAAAAUAAAAUAAAAAAAUAAAAAAAAAACAGAAGGGGGGGGGCGGUUGAACCGGCCCUAGGGCGGUUGAACCGGCCCUAGGCGGGGCGCGCAGGGGCGGCCGAGCUGGCGAGGGCGGGGCGGCCGAACCGGCGGGGCAGGGGGCGGCCGAACCGGCGGGGCAGGGGGCGGCGCAGGGGGCGGCCGAGCCGGGCGAGGCAGGGGGCGGCGCAGGGGGCGGCCGAGCCGGCCGUGGGGCGGCCGAACCGGCGGGGCAGGGGGCGGCGCGGCCGAGCCGGCCGUGGGGCGGCUGGGCUGGGCGGCGGGCGGCCGGACCGGGCGGGCAGGGAGGCGGCCGAACCGGCCAUGGGGAAAGGGGAGAGGGGAUGGGGGAGGGAGGAGAGGGGGAGGGGGGAGCUCACCGGGGAGGGGCGCGACGGCGGCAGGGGCGGCCGGCGGCAGGGGCGGCCGAGGGCGGCGGUUGGGCAGGGGGCGGCGGCGGCUUAGGGCAGGGGUAGGGGCGGCGGCUUAGGGAGAGGGAGAGAAAAUGAGAGAAAAUGAGAGGGAGGGAGAAAGAAUUGGGGGAAAAAGGGGAGGGGGGGGCGGUUGGGCCUAUUGGGCCCAAGGGGGGGGGCGCGCAGGGGCCUGGGCCGGCCGGGGUCGGCCCACGGCGCGGGAGAGAGAGGAAAAGAGGAGAGAAAAAAAGAGAGGGAGGAAGAAAAAGAAAGAAAAGAUCUUCUCCACAUUUUCGAAAUCCGAUCUUUCUACAUGAAUGCAAUUGCGCUUUCAAAGCAAUCAAAAGAAAUGCAAGGUUCGGCAUGGUGCAUCAAACAACAUAAAGUAUUUAGGGUUUUUAUACGUACGGGAAUUCCAAACCGAACCCCGCUAGAACUUUGGAAAAGGUCAAGGUUUAGCGAGGGGAAAAAGAAAAGGAAAAGGUAACGCCCGAAUUUUGGCGAGUAAAGAAAAGAAAAAAUUCAACUGCAAAAUUCGGGGCGUUACAAACGCCCUGCCUCAUAAGAGAAGUAGAUAAUCUACCUAGUACUAUGUGCCUUUUGUGCGAAGAUUCUCACACUAGGGUUUGUGGAUCAAGGCGUAGUCAUCCGCUUACUCGUGCAGGGUUGGAGUACAUUGGGAUAGGCUUUGGUUCAAACCUAACAAGUACCUCUGCCAAAAAGUAGUAUGUAAACAGUACGGGAGCUCAAUGACAUUGAUCAGAAAAUAAGAGUGAAAAUGGUGGGGAUUGCUGUCCACUUUGAAGAUUUUCACUUUAUUUGAAAAAAAGAGAAGGAAGGCCGGGUGGGCCGCUACAAGGCCGGGUGGCCGAGCAGCCCACCAAGUAGCUCGUUCCUAGGGAAAAUGGAAGUCGAGGCUGGUAGUCCGUGCGUAGGAGAAGAGUAGUCGUAGGCUCUGGCCGCGGCGCGGUUUUGGCUCUGGUGAUUCGACGCCCGCCGAACUCCAUGUUGAUCCCUGUACAACUGCCUGGCGGCCGUCUCCUUAAGAUGGGCGAGCGCUCCUCUGGCUUUGGUUAAGUUCGCUCUGCUGUUCUUCCUCCUCUCUACUGGCUUGCUGAUCCUGUGACGAAUUCUACCGGUUCGCUCUCGUGUGCGUCUCACGGGUAAGCAAGUGAAAGAGGGAAGAUUUGCCUUUGCGCUCGUCGAGUUUGGCAUAUCUGUGCUUUGUUGCCGGAAUCGUGCAUUUGUGUGGUGUUGCGGUUCUUCUGUGAUCUCUGUCCACCGUGGCCUGGUGCUUGGGCUCCCUGCUGCGCGGUGUUCUUCUUCUCUGUCUGGUGUCGCGGACGUCUCCCACGGCCUCAGCAGCGGCUCUAGUAUCUCCAUCAACCUCCCGUCGUGCAGGUCCGGACGUGGGCGGUGGAAUUGGUUUUCUGGGACAGAACCUUGUGUUCGUUGCGCUGGUCUUCCCACGUAGACAAUCUACAUGAUGUGAGUUACCUGUUGCUUCUCUAUAUUUAUUGAGUAAUUUUGUGCAAUCUGCUAGUAUCAUUUACUUGGGUGUGAUUGCACAAUUUGUGGGCGGAUUUAAUUGCUCGAUGAUGAUAGCGGUGUAGUGAGACGACGUGACAGUCUGGGUUUUAGUGUGUUGUUAUUUUCAGCAUUGAUAUUUUUUGUGCCUAAUUAUAUCUCUAUUUGUUAAGGUUGUUUACCUGUGUUAAAUUCUGUUAUUUUAUUUAGUACACAGCUCCUUACUAUUAAUAUUUAUACUUGAUUAUUAGGCUUAUUACAUCUGAUCUAAAACCCUGAUUUGGUAAGAUAGGACUGACACGUUAGUCGAGAAUCUCUGAUCACCAUUUAGCGUUGGAGGGCUGUUUAUUACAGCAACCGGCUAUUUUGAGAGCAAUAUAAAAAGAUAAACAAUAAUGUUUAUGUGCAAAAUCUGUCUUCUUCAUCUGCAAGUCAUGUUUAAUUUUGAAAUGGACAUGAGCAACUAUUUUACAUGUUUACAUGUCCUAAAAUUGCUAUUGUUCAUUGCUGCUAUAAAUACGUAUGGCAUUUAUCUGAGUUAUAUGUUUGUUUUAUUCGAAAUUAGAAUAUUUAAUAUAUUUAAAUAUGAUGGAAGAAGCAUGUCACUUAUUUCUCUAAUAUUACAACAGCUAUUGCCAUCUGUAUACCGUAGUUGCUGCUCUGUUAGCUUUAAUUGUAAAUAGGCAAUGGAUAAUUUAUGCAGCAACUUAGAUGUCAUUGUUAAUGUUGUCUUGUUAGUGGUUGAUUUACUAUGACUUCAUUUCUCUUUACCGAGUUGGUUAUUGAAUUUAAUAUAAAAUUAUAUGUACUCCCCUGUCCUAAAUUAAAAUUCGUUUUAGGUAAUUAAUAGAUUCAUAUAAUGUUUGCUCUAUGUAUUUUAUAUAUGUGUCUAGAUUCAUCGCUAUACAUUUUAAUAUAGACAUAAAACCCAAGAGCUAAAAUAAAUACUAUUUUGGAACGGAGGGAGUACAUUGUAUAGAAUUGUAUGUAAAAGUUUUAUCGUGGCACACCACUACACUAAAAUGCUUAACUUCCUAGGGCCUAAACCGUAGGAAGUUAGCGCAAAACUCUCGGAAGUUAUACAAACCGUCAGAAGUUAGCCCGUCGGAACAAAUUGGUCGGAAGUUAGGGUAACUUCCGACGGGCUCUCGGAAGUUAAGGAACUUCCGAGAGGGCCGUCCGCCUCUCGGAAGUUAAUGAUUAACUUCCGAGAGGGCGCUUCCCUCUCGGAAGUUAAGUGCUGACGCCGUCCAGCACGGGGCUAACGCCGUCCAGGAAUAACUUCCGACGGCCUCUCGGAAGUUAACCAUUAACUUCCGAGAGUUUGCUAUUCCUCUCGGAAGUUAAAUUGACCAGCACUAAAUAUACAAUUUGUUUUUGGUAAUUCAACACAUUACAUACAUAACAAAUAUAUAUAACAGCCACAAUACACAACAUAUCACAUAUAACAUCUCACUUACAUAAUAACAACAUAAGAAUUCACAAGUCUCACAAGACACAAGUCUCACAAGUCAAAUCCACCUCGACAUAAGAAUUCACAAGUCUUACAAGACACAAGUUUGAAGUCUCACAAAACACAUCGAAUGGAAGCCCACUACUGUCGAUCAACAUUAGGAAAUAAUGAAGAGUGAUGCUCGCUACCUCCACUCGCGAAGAGCGUAUUGACAAAGUCUAACCCAUCAUCUUGUUGCUGUGCCGGCAAGGUUGCUGGAGGAGUCUCAUAUACCUAUACAAAUGACAUUGACAGAGUUACAUCGUAAUGUAGCAAGUAAAUUAUGAUAAAUUUGCAUACCUGAUGUUCGGUAGGUGGAGGUGGAGGUGAAGGCCAAGGAAAAUGUAUGGAAGGUGGAGGUGGGGGGGCCAUCGAAAACUAUAUCCCUUGGGCUUGUGCUAGUUGCUACCAAAUUUCCGAACACAUUAAUGUUAGUGUUUUAAAUCAAUACAUAACUUAAAAUGAAUGAUCUUUUUGAACUUACUUGUAUCAGUGCUUGCUGUUGUUGAAACUGAGUAGCAUAGUAUUCUUGUUGAGCAACAUGUUGCCUCAAGUAUUCCUCCUGAAACCUUUGCCGCUACUGAUGUUGCCUAAGCUCUUCUCGUAGUUGCUCAACUUCUGCAGUAUCCUGAGUAGAGCGACGGGAGCUACGAGCAGCAGACCUCGACGAACCUCCCCUCUGAACCGUCACCUGGCUCGAGUCGAUGACGUUAUCGAAAAUCGAGUACCUUCAAACAAGUAACAUCACGACAUAUUCAAAAAAAAUCUAUUGUACUUAAACCGAUGAAACAAGAUAAGGUAUGUAGAGUCCACACCUUCCAUGGGGGUUUCCACCACUUGCAUACACAGCCUGAGGAUCAAUAGGUGCGGUCCUCCAGUCAUAGUCCGAUCCGUGUUGACUAGACAUCGCCUCAGCAUAUGCAGCCUCCAUACAAAAGAACAAUGCAAUCUUACAUCACUGGGCACAUACAUAAAUUCAUAUGAACAAAAUCUACCAAGCAUUUCAAAACACUCACCAGACGAUCUGUUGCCUUUUGGCUACACAACACAUCUGGAUUUGCAGGAUCUGAUCCUCUGUGCCCCCUCAGGUAUAUUUGAACAUCACUAGGCACUACACCACUGCUAGCUUCAUGUACGUACAUUUGACAAACAUUAUAAUCAGAAAUGACAUCAAGUCAUAUACAAUCAACAAAACUACACCACUGCUAGUUUCCUGUACUUACCAUUCGUUUUGCCAAAUGAAAGUGAUCAUCACCUCCAUACUUAUGAUACGACUCGGUUCCAUGAUUGGAACUUUGUUGUAUAGACUUUGCCUUGAAAUUAUCCGAAGCCCAAUAACGACAUAAGGCACGCCAAGCAGCAUCAUUGGCGGCUAUCCAUGGAAUCGAAUGCUACGGAAACACAAUUCAUUUAUAAGUAACUGUAACAUAUACAAGGAACAUAGUACAUCAUAUGCAAAAACAUCAAUUUUUUCCAACAUAAGCAAAAACAUCAAUUACGUGAAGAAAAUCUUGCUCAGUCAUAGAAAGUCCAUAUUGUGACGCCUCGCUCUUACUGGUUGCACGUCGUCCUUCACUACUCAACAUAGCUUGAUUAAUCACCUGGAUUCGAACAUAGUACAUCAUAUCCGCAACAACAUCUGUCGCGUUCUUAUGGAACACGGAGUGUGCAUGCUCGGUAUGAGUAUCUCCAUCAGGCAACUUAUAAUAUUUCUGAAAAAGAAACAUAGUCAAGAAUCCAUAAUAUGAAUCAAUCGUUGAGCUGAUAACUUCGCAAGAAGAUAGAUAAACAUACCCAGAAGUCAUGCCAAACUGCACCUUGCGCAUUCCCAUGUUGCGCGUUAACCGCAAGGCCGUAUUGAUCCCAUCUUGUGACAGGGACCUCAAUACCAUCCCCAAUCACCAAUCCAGGCCAUCUCAUACGACAGAUAUUGCCCAACACUUUAUUUACUUGCCUUACACGAUCUUUGCCGGUGAAACUACUAUCCAGCCAAGCCCUAACAACACAAGCACAAUUGUCAAAUUCAAAAAAUAAUUGUUUAUCCUCAAUGUGUAAGACAUAAGAACAAAGCAAAGAUGCUCUUACCCAUCUCUACUCGGGAUUAUCUCAACCUUGUUAACUGGUUCUUUAGGAGGGGGGACCCAACUAGUCUUCCGCGGCUUCCGGACCCGUGAAGACCCUCCAACUCCCCCGCUUCCAGAACCUCCUCCUGAAACACCAGCUUCCCCUUCCCUUGACCCACUAGCUCCCCCAACUCCCGACCCUCCAUCAUUGGGCCAUUCACCCCACCCCGUCUCCACCUCCCUACCCUGGACAUCCUCAUCAUCUUCCACUUGUCUCCACUCCUCUGUCUCUUCCUCAUCUUCAGGCUCAUCCUAUAGAUCAAAAUUAAUAAUUUAGUUAUUCGAACUCAUACAAAUAUUACAUUACAAAACAAAUAUAUUGGUUACCUCAUCCUCUGUACGCCGACUGCCUGACCCUGCAACUCUGGAACAUGCUCCAACAAAGCUCUAUGCCUGCUCGAGCUUGAACUAGUGCCCUGGAACAAUAAGUCCUCCUUUCUCCCAAAAAUGGAGGCUCUCCUCGCUAGUCCCUUAGUGAGCUGCUUGACCUUUUUAGACAUCCUGUUAUUAAAACAAAAUCAAAUUAGUAAUUGAGCAUAAUGUAAAUGAACAUAAUGUAUUGAAAUGAACAUAAUGUAUUGAAAUGAACAAUAAAUAUAUAAUUACUUUUUAGUCGUAUUCAAAAUCAGGAUCAAAUUGUUUUCUUCGAUUUGAUGUUUUCUUCUUUGACUUCCGUUUCCAUUUUUUGGGACUUACUACAUCUUUAGGAUCUCCCACUAAUGAUUCUGGCAAAACCUCAGUAUCUAUAUUAAAAUUGGUCAGAAGUUCAUCUUCUUGGUAAAUUUCUUCAACUUCCGCCUCGAACCAUUCACCAUUGGUGUGUAACUGUUCACGAGGAUUCACUUUGUACACUACCCAUGUGGCUUCCAGCUUUAUAGAUGGAUACGAUAUGUAGUACACCUAGUCAACUUGGUGAGCAAGAACAAAUUUGCUACAUGCACUUGUUUUGAGCUCAUGUUUGACUUCUACCAUGCCAAAUUGGUUUUCUACAGUCCCUUGAUUGGGAUCAAACCAAUCACAUUUGAAAAACACCACCUUAAGAUUUUUGCUCCCGGCGAAGUCGUACUCGAGUAUGUCAUUAAUAACUCCAUAAUAAUUCAUCUCUCUUCCACGAUCAUCGAUUGCCCUGCAUACAACUCCAGUAUUUUUUAUCGCCGCAAAUGGACGAGUACAUUCAAAUUUGGUCGAACGAAAAUGAAACCCCUUAAUGUUGUAACGACCGUAGCUUCUGACUUUUAUGAUUGCGUAAGACAUCUGAAGCAAGUCCUCGUCUAAAUUUGGAAUUUUGUCACACUGCCAAUCAGAUGGUGAAAUUAGAUUUCUAAAACAAAAUAUAUAAAGUAGAACAAGAGUGUUAGGUUAUUUACAUAAUUUUGAAACCAAUUAAUGAAAUUGGGCUUCCCAUGUCUUCCUUGAAGCGCGUUUUCAUACUGCCUCGAGGACAAUUUCUCAUUAAGAUGCGAUUGGAAUUCUCUGUUACAACAAGUAAACAAAUGAGGUGCGGAACACGAUUACUACAAGUAAACAAAUUGAAAUAUGGAGUCAUCUUACUUGAAAUAUUGAGUCAUUUCAUCCAUAUUUUCAUACAUAUAGAGCAAAGCGUCCAACUUUUCUUCGCGCUCAAGAUGAUAUUCUGUGGAUGCCCAGACAGUCUUGCCCUCAAUCUAAAAAAUUUGGAGAUUGCUGCGGGUCCCUACUUUGUCAUCAUGAUACCUCAAUGUAGGGGCAUUGAUAUUGUGCUCGUCUGCAAAGUAUACACUCGUGAAGGCUGCUACCUCUUUAUAUUUGAAUUUUUCAGCUAUACACCCUUCAACUCUUCCUUUGUUACCAACCAUUGAACUAAGCUUCUUUAAUGCCCUUUCAAUAUGGUACAUCCACCUGUAUUGCACAGGACCACCAACCUUAGCUUCAUAUGGAAGGUGGACAAGUAGAUGUUGCAUUGGAUUGAAGAAUCCUGGGGGGAAUAUUUUUUCCAACUUGCAUAUAAGGACAGGAAUUUCUGUCUCCAACUUCUCCAUCACAUCUUUGUUUAUUUCUUUAGCACAAAGUUGCCUAUAAAAGUAGCUUAACUCAGCUAAAGACUGCCAGAUACUGACUUUCAAGUACCCACAGAACAUUAUAGGGAGGAGCCUUUCCAUCAUUAUAUGAUAAUCAUGGCUCUUCAAUCCAGUUAUUUUAUUUGUCUUUAAGUUCACAGCUCUCCUAAACCCGGCCGCAUAACCAUCUGGGAAUUUCAAAUUUUUCAACCAUUCCAUUACUUCUUUCUUCUGUUUAGGUUUUAGACAAAAUUGAGCAUGUGGCUUUUUUCCAUUUUCGUCGAGUUCCUGGGUUGGUCGGUUACAAAGUUUUGCUAAGUCCUUUCUGGCCUUUAUAUUGUCUUUUGUUUUGUCACCUAGAUUCAUCCAAGUACUUAGAAUGCUUUCACCAACAUUACAUUCCUGAUGCAUGACGUCAAUGUUAUGCAUCAGAAUCAAUGCCUUAACAUAAGGUAGUCCCCAUAAACCACAUUUAUGUGUCCAGUUAUGCUCGGUUCCAAAACCUAUGUAUCCAUCACCACUUUCAUUCUCUUUCAAAUUAUUAAGCAUAACCUCAAUCUCUAUUCCGCUAAGACGCCUGGGCGGUCCCUUUGUCACGAUAGCGCCCUUCUUAAAGGUGUUAACCUCGAACCUAUACGGGUGUUUUUGGGGUAAGAAGCAUCUGUGGCAGUCAAAGUAACAGAUCUUGCCUCCAAACUCAAGGCGGAAACAAUCUGUAUCCUUGCCACAUAUUGGACAUGUUAGAGUUCCAUGGCAGCUCCAUCCAGCAAAUAAACUGUAUGCCAUGAAAUCAUGAAUGGACCACAAAUACGCAACUCGAAGUGUGAAUAUCUCGUUUUUGUAGCAAUCGUAUGCUUCGACUCCUUUCCAUAACUUUUUGAGAUCAUCGAUCAAGGGUUGCAUCAUCACAUUCAGCCCUUUCCCAGGAUGGUCUGGACCAGGAAUAAUUAGGGAAAGAAACAUGUAAUCAUAUUUCAUGCACAGAUGAGGUGGAAGGUUGUAUGGAAUCACAAAUACAGGCCAACAAGAAUACGAUGUUGCGUUCGUAUUGAAAGGUGUGAAACCAUCUAUCGCCAACCCAAUUCGAAUAUUUCUCGCUUCACUAGCAAAUUCUGGAUCAAAGUCAUAUAGAGCCUUCCAUGCAUCACUGUCAGACGGGUGUGUCAUCACAUGAGUGUCCCCUCGUUCACGUUCUUUAUGCCAUCUCAUGUGCCUAGUUGUGUUCCUCGAAAGAAACAAACGCUUAACACGAGGCACAAGAGGCAUAUAACAAAGUUGCUUUUGGGCUACAGUUGAUGUGACCAUUUCACCAUCAUCGUUUUUAACCUCUACAUAUCUCGACUUGCCACACUUUAGACACUUACUAUCAUUCUCAUGAUCCUUCCAGAACAGCAUACAAUUAUCUGGACAGACAUCGAUUUUCUGAUAGUCCAUACCUAGACUAGAGAGCAGUUUCCUGCACUGAUACACGUCUUUCGGCAUCUUGUGAUUUGGUGGAAACACUUCGCUGAUUAAGCUCAAGAGCUCGUUGUAAAAAUUGUUCGAGAACAUGAACUUAGACUUAAUAGCCAUAAGUCGAGUCACGAAAGCAAGGAUGGAAACUGUUGUGUGUUCGUGCAACGACUCUUCUGCAGCCUUAAGAAGGUCAAAGAACUUUUUAACCUCUGGAGGAGGCGCCUCCUCAGAAUUUGGUGGAAACACUAAAUCAGGAUCCCCCCUUAAAUCUUCAAGCAUCUCAUCCAUUCUAUCGUAUUCUACGUCGUCAUUGUUGUGGGCUUCCGAUGCAUUUUCACGGGGAAACUCCUCGCCGUGAUACACCCAGACUUCAUAGUCAGGCAUGUAGCCAUAUUUGCAAAGGUGUCCUGACAGAGUUCUCUUGUCUUGACAUCUAUAAAUACGACACAUACUACAUGGACACCGCACAUCUGUGCCAGUUCUUGACAAAGUAAAAGCACGAGCAAUAAAAGCCUCUGUCUUUCUUAUCUACUCUGCUGAGGGAUCAUUCAUACGCCAACCUUCAUACAUCCAUCGACGGUCCUCACCCACCAUAUUUGAUGCUAAAACAGUAGAACAUAUGAUUCACCCAUAAGAGACCGCUAGAGCAACGAUUUAUGACACAUAAGUUCCGCAACAUUACGACAAUUUUGCGAAAAUAUUACUAAUCUGUAACAAACAACAUGGUAACAUAAUUAUAUUAUAUGCAACAGUUAGCUUCUCAAGUUGAUUAGCCUAAUUGACAUAAUUUCCUACUGUUUAAAAUUAGUUGACUCUCGGAAGUUAGUAUAUUUAAUAAAAAAAAUAAAUACAAACACUCGGAAGUAAUUACCUGAAGCGACGAAACGGUGAAGCGACGGGCGGCGGUGGCGGGGCGCCAGAGCAGCCGACGGUGGCGGGGCGACCGAGCAGCAGGCGGGCGCACGGGCCGGGGCGGCGGUGGCGAGCGGGAUGGGCGGGCGAGCAGCCGGCGAGUGGCGUGGCGGACCGGCGAGCAGCAGGCCGGGGGGCACACGCGACGGCGAGCGGUGGAGCAGCGAGCGGCGGAAUGGCGAGCGGCGAGCAGAGUAGCGGCGGCGGCUGCAAAAUGGAAGACGGAACAGAGACGGGCGCGCGCACCGUUUCCUAAAAACAUAACUUCCGAGAGGGCACUGUGCAGGCCGUCGGAAGUUAACCCUACAGUGACCGGUCAACGGCCUCAGUACGCAACUUCCGAGCGGCACUGUGCAGGCCGUCGGAAGUUAACGUACUUCCGAGAGGCCCUCAGAAGUUAACGCAACUUCCGACAGGCGUUGUGCUAGCCGUCGGAAGUUAACGUAACUUCCGAGAGGCGCUGUGCCAGCCGUCGGAAGUUAACGUAACUUCCGAGAGGCCCCAGUAGCCUCUCGGAAAUUAUUAAUUUCCUACGGUUUUGAAAAAACCCCGUAGGAAGUUAUUGGCCUCUCGGAAAUUGAUUAUUUUGGUGUAGUGCACCCUAUAUAAAAAACUUAGGUCCGCCAUUGACUGAAAGAUGUAUUUAUUCCCCAAUUCGCAAAAGCAAAACAAAACAUGAUGAACAAGUAAACACUGGAAAAAAUAAUCUAAUAUGACUCGUCAAUUGGUCAUGGAUGACGAUACGGAGAUUGUUGGAUAUAGUUACGACGCUAUAUGAGGUAGUAUAUACGGCGGUGGUACACUUUAAUUUCUCAUUGUUGACUUCUUUUUUUGGGGUGGGUGGGUGGGGAGGGGGUGACUCUUUCUAUAUACGUUGGUGAGCACAAGAUUAGAUCGUUCAAUAAACCAUUUUUCUUGUUUACGCAACUAUCACAGUCCAGCAACAGCAACACGGUCUUCAAAAAAAUUGAAAGGACAGAGUACACGAAAAGCAUGGUAGGUUUAAACGUUUAAUUAAUAUAACUGUAUUGUUUCAUGGACAGGUUCUAGCUAGAUGCUGGAGACUACUUCAAGUCGGCUGAUUACUAGACAUUUAAAAUUCGGAUCACCUACUAUGUGAUUACUAGAAAUAAGAUAACUAUAUUGUGUCAUCAGCAGGUUCGGGCUGCUAGAGACUAUUUCUAAAGGUCUGCUGAUAUGUUCAACAAAAGACUUAUUCAGCCACUGAUACGUACACGUCGCCACAUGCGCUGUGGCAGGCUAUAUAACCUCACCAUCUCCAUGCCCAAAGCAUCAACAACAUACACACAAGCAAAACAAAAAGCUAAGCUCCGUAGCUAAAUUCAGAUAUUACAAACACAAAAAGGGAGUGCAGAACCAAAAUGGCUGCCUCGACCUUCCUUCUCGUUGCUUUUCUAGCAUUGAUCACUUCUCAGGCCAUUGCCUCUGAUCCUAGCCCGCUCCAAGACUUCUGUGUUGCCGAUAAAGACUCUCCAGGUAUGAGUGCUCUCCUUUUGACUCAAGCAGUGUUCUUAUAAUAUAUACCUGAUUAAAUAAGGAUCAUUUGUUCAAACACACAUCUACAUACAAUAAGCAUUUCGGGGUAUAUAUGCAUGUCCUAUUAACCUGUUCUCCAUCUAACUGUUUGUCUUUGUCUACGCAUGCAUCCAGUGAAGGUGAAUGGAUUUGUUUGCAAGGAUCCUAUGGCUGUGAACGCUGACGACUUCUUCAAGGCUGCAAAACUUGAUCAGCCAAGGGACACCACCAAAAGCAAGGUGGGAUCCAACGUUACUCUGAUCAAUGUCAUGCAGCUGCCUGGACUCAACACGUUGGGGAUCUCGUUGGCUCGCAUUGACUACGCACCAUUAGGUCAGAAUCCUCCACACACACACCCACGUGCCACUGAGAUCCUCACCGUGCUUGAAGGGACACUCUACGUCAGAUUUGUCACCUCCAACCAAGCUGACAGAAGCAACAAGCUAUUUGCCAAGGUUCUCAACAAGGGCGAUGUGUUUGUAUUCCCCCAAGGACUAAUCCACUUCCAGUUCAAUCCAGUACAUGACAAGCCAGCAGUCGCGCUCGCUGCUCUAAGUAGCCA
rnacentral:lncRNA from 1 species